UCGAUUGGGCAAGUCUCUGGCUUAGGUGGAGUUGGUGUUGGCGGUGUUACGACCGGUGGGCUUGGUGUUGGUGGCGUAACAACAGGUGGCGGUGGGCACGGUGAUGGCGGUGGCGGUGGGCACGGUGAUGGCGGCGUUACGACGGGUGAAGGCGUAUGAGUGGGUGGUUUAGGGGUGGACGGAGGUGGUUUAACAGUGGGCGGUUUCGUGGGUGGUUUCGGGGUAGACGGAGGAGGUUUAACGGUGGGCGGUUUCGUGGGUGGUUUCGGGGUGGACGGAGGUGGUUUAACGGUGGGCGGUUUCGUGGGUGGUUUCGGGGUGGGAUGAGGUUUGGUAGGGGGUUUCGGAUGUGGGUGUGGUUUGACAGUGGGCGGUUUGGUAGGGGGUUUAGGGUGUGGGUGUGGUUUGACGGUGGGUGGUUUGGGAGGUUUUACUGCCGGUGGUUUAGGCGGUUUGCUAGGAUGUUUAGGCGGUUUGUGGGGGUGAGGUGAUGGUUUAGGAGGGCUACAGUCGCAAGCGAAGGAGACGGCAAGAAAGCCAAGGAAGAGGAGGAUAAGAAAAGAGAGGUUUUGUGUACGAGACCCCAUUUUUCUAGAGUGAGGGUGUGGUUUACCCAAAGGAGUGAGUAAGAAAGAUAUAUGAGUGUAUCAUUUUAUAGAAAGAUAUUAAAAUAUAUUUGCUAUAUAUAAUUUUCAAAUAUGCAUUCUGUGACCAGAUUAUUGAAACUGAGUUUCGGUUUUUGUUUUUGUUUUGAAAUCUAGAUUUUGUAGCAUGUGUUAAGUCACUUAGUUACAACUUACAAGUUGUCAUUUCCUGAGUUGUAAAAAAAUAGGACAACAUUCGUUAUAUAUAUAUACUUCCAUAGAACUAUUGUGGAUCAACCUAUGUGAAGAGGAUACAAAAAAAUAAGCUUUAAAGAUUUUAGUAAGUUCAAAAAAAAUUUGUAUUUUUCUUAUUGAUCAAAACACUGCCAAAAGCAAAUACACUGCAUUUGGUGCGAAGAACUCAAACACUACUCCUCGCAAGGUUUCUGCCAAAUCAUUUGCUCUAUCCUUCUCCCUCUGAGUUUUUUUAAUCUAGGGAGAUAUAUAUACCUUGUUAUUCAUAGUCUACUUAGAACAAGGAAGCAGAUAUAUAUUAGAUUUCUAAUAUACAACCUCUGAGUAACUCGGAUUCGGCCACCUCCUCGAAUCAUAGGAUGACUCUAUCCACUCUUCAAUGUACAUAAUAUUAUUUGAUCAUCCAUGUUUUUUUGCACUCGGUAAUUUCUAGCUAUAUAUUAAAACUGGAAAUUGUUUUGAGUAAAUUCGAUUAUGAAUAGUUGGUAAACGUACGUUUAAAGGAUGGUUUUAUGCUUCUGCCAUGGUUGUUAAAAUAAAGGAAUAAAAGAGUGCAAUUUUAACCAAAAAAAAGAGAGAGAGAGAGAGAGAGAAUGCAAUUUCAGUUCUACGAGACCUUCAUCUGAAUCCAAAAUAUAUUAUGAUAAAAAAGAAGCAAAUAUUACAACCGUGCGACAAACGCUCUCAACUCUUCUUGCUACAAACGCCGUGCGCCUUCGUGUUGCUCCGGUCCGGCAAGCGUGCUGGUGCCGGAGGCCCUUUCUCCUCUCCUCUUUGCUCUUCUCCCUUGUCUCUUCCAUGGUUUCCUUGCUCAGAUCUGUGAGUAGGUCAAAGGUGGUCAUCGGCGUUCCGGUCUAGAUCUUGGUGCACGGAGGCCAGAUCCGGUGGUUAUCUUACUUGCUUGGAGUGAUGGCGAAGUCUGGGAGCGGUGAGGUGGUGAAGAGUCGGCUUUUAGGGUUUGUGACGGCGGAGCGAGUUUUUCAGAUCUACGGACUGCCGCUCUUCUCCUCCGUCUGAGUUUGCGGCAAUGUGUCGGAGGUCUCUCUUCUCCUGUUGUUCAGAGUUGCGGUCGUGGUGGCUGUCUCUGUUUCUCCAGCAAGUUGGGUCGGUUUUUGCGGUUUGUUCUUAGCCUCUGUCCUUGGCGUCUUGGAGAGGUUCUUCUUCCGCUUCCGGCCAGGAAAGUCACUAUUGGUCUCAUCCUUCCAAUGGUGGCGCCACCAGAGAGUGGUAGGUUUCGCGUGUCUCCUCCUUCUCAUCCGGUUUCAAGCGUGUGGACUGUGGGCUGGUGCUGUCUCUUGACGUCGUCUAUGGCGUUGUUGACAAUCCCUUUCAUGUCGACGCUUUCCUUGCUCUGCUCUGGCACUGUUCUUGCUCGUGCUUGGAUCCCAAUCUCUCUCUGAUUUGUUCUCUCGGAGGCCUUCGCGUGAUUCAGGUCGCUUGAGAAGCUGUGGAACCGAGUCCCGGUUCUCGGUCUCGGCGUUUGGCAAGUUCUCUUCGUCGCUUGCGGUGGUCAGCAGGUUCCGGAGAAACUUGAAGGCUUCAGACGUUACGCCAUGAUUUCGCAGUGCUGCGGUUUGUUUCUUGACUAGCUGCAGUAGUUAUGGCUUUUUCUACAGCUUAUAGGUUUUGAUUUGAGCUCUUUGCAAGGACGCCUAUAUCUCGGCCCGUCUUGUCCUUGUUUGUGUCGAGUCGGGGUGCUCGUACACGUUAAGAUCGGUGCUUUGAAUGUUCAAGGAUUUCGCUGGGUUCGUGCUGAGGAUAAGUGUCGUCAGUCUCUGCUGGGUUCGUGCUGAGAGUAUGCUUCGGUCUUGCUCAAAGCGUCGUCGGGAGACUAGGGUUCGUACUUUGAAGCGUCGUCGGAAAACUAGGGUUCGUGUUCUAUGGCGUCGUCGGAUUUCCUAGCCGUAUUCACGGUUGUAGAUCAUGUUUUUAGCAUUAAGACUUGUAGUUUUAAUCCUAAUGGUUGUCCUUUAAGAUUUUUUCACUUUUUUUGGAUCUUAAAGAACUUGUAUCCUUUCAUUUUCAUUAAUGAACAUUUACAGUUUAGCAAAAAAAAAAAAAUAUAUUAUGAUAAAAAAAGAAAAUUCAUGCCACCAAAAAUAUUUUUCUUAAAGAAAAUAUGAUCAUUGGCCAAAAAUCAUGAAAUUUGUGGUUGUAAAAGUAAGAGACAUUUCAUAACAUUCACUUAAAAUCCUUUGUUUUAAUUACUUGGACAUGAUCAUAAUGGUUUAGCCAAUAUAAAACGUACAAACCAUGAAAAUGUUUGACGAAACGACCACCGGAGAUAGAAUUGUCAACAUGCAUUGAAAAACAUAAACUGUCGCAAAGGUAGGCACCAUUUUUUUUUUUAAUUGAAAAGGUAGGCACCAUUAUCGUGUACGUCUUAUAUGUUUUCUAUUUCUUUCUUUUGUUCUCGUUUCCAAAAGGCUAUUGUCACCAAGCUUUUCCAUUACAUAUUUUCCGUAAAAUGAUCGAUAUUUUCAUAUAUGGAUAAAACUUAGCUUUUCCAAAUAUGCCUUCUCUUUUUAUAAUCCUGUCUAAUAGUGUCUUGCACCCUGGUUUGUUAAAUCGGAGAUCCAGUUGGUCAAAUAUCUAAAAUCAACGCGUAAAUCAGGGAAAUGUCCCGAUAUUGCCAAGCUCUAUUACUCUAGCAUAAUAGCAUUUUAGAGAAUGCCCAGUCUAUCAGCGUUUAACAGUCACUAGAUUAAAACAUUUGUUAUGUUAUUGUAUAGAUUUUCUUUUCUAGAAAAACUUUGGGCAGACAUAUUUUGUAGUUACUAGUGAAAACAAUGGGAGUAACCAGAGGAUUUUGUAGUGUAAUGGCCAGUGGGCAGACAAUUUAUGAAGGGAUUUUGUCAGCAUUACUUGACUUAAGACACACCUCCCAUCUUGUAUAGUGACAAGAUAUAAUCAAAGACAUCCUUCUCACUCUUCUUUUUUUCUAAUUCCUUCCGUUUUAGGUCCACUUUUCGAGAAGCAUAUUAGGCAAGUUCAGAACUUCUCUUGGGUUUUGGUUUAUGUUUUUACCUAUUCAAAAAGGAGGAAAAGAAUCAGUUUUGGUUUAGCAUACCAAACCUACGAUAUAAAGUAUUCAAAUGUUCAGUAUUCAUAUAAAGUAUAUAAGUCGAUAUAUCUUGAGCCAAGGUCCGAGUUAUUGGGAUUUCGUAGGUAGAUGACAGGUUGAAAAGUAUUCGUUUAUAUUGAUGAAAUCACUCCCCCACCUCCAUAACGUGUUUCGGACGUUCAGUCAUUUACAUUUUCAUAUAGCCAAUCUAGGCUUUGGAUCAUAUAUUCCAUAUGAUUUGUUCAAAGCUUUUUCUUUAGUUUGUUUUUGUCUCCCGCGUUAGAAAGAUACGAGCUUGUGCGCCUUUUAUCAGAUCUUUAAGUGAUUGAAUAACGUCCGUGAUUGAUGAUUCUCUUUAGAAUUUUUCCAUUAAAUAUUAAUUAUACUAGUGAUGAUUCAGAAUAUGAUUUCAUUGUGGGUCAACAUAUACUAAUUAAAGCUAAAUCUAGUAUCUGAUUGGUAAAAUUGAAACGAUAAUUUGGUUAACACACACGUUCACUGCGUUUAAAAUAACAAAACUGUAAAUUUACUUUCUUCAGAACACGAUUUAUAGUUAUUUUUCUGCCAGAUUCUUUCACAUGGUGUAGAAAGCUUAUUUAUUAGUAUUGUUGGGGAUUUUUGUUAUUCAAAUUUCUAUUUGUCCUGAAUAAAUUUAUUAUUGAACAGUUUUCACCAUACUAUGAUACUAUUCGCAGAUUUACUAAGAAAAGGUAGAGUGAAAGUUGUACAAAAUCCCAUUGUGUUUGAGGAGUAAAGGUUUUCUCUACCACUUUUUCUCUGAACAACUUUUCUUUGCCAUAUUCACUUUCGCAUCUCUAUUGACAAUAUCGCAAAAACAUUGUGGUUUAUUUUCUAAUUCAGUUUAUCAAGAACUGUUUAAAAUAAUUUUAGUUAUAAUUUAUAAACCUACUUUGUAUUAUAAAUUAUGAAAUUAAAAACUUUUAGAUUUAUUCACGGUGAAUAAAACAAAAUAAAGUUUAGACGCCACUACAAGGUGGCGGGUAGGAUUUGGCGGGUAGCAAAAACAUUGUAAACCCGUGAAGUCUGUCACUUUUAGGAUUUAUUUUUCUUUAAAAACCAAAAAUGGGAAAUGGAUAAUGUGACGUGCUGAAUGCAUCUCAUGCAUGCAUGUGACUCCACCAUAAUUUAAGAAAAAACAAACUUAAAAACAUGUGGUCUGACUCUCUGAGUACUCAUGUCCUAGUCGUGAUAAUUUGUUUUGCAGAAGCUUUUUUUUUUUGCAAUUAAAAAGUGGAGAAGAAGAAAUCGAACCCGGUUUUGCGGAAGCUUGAUCAUUUCUUUACUGAUAGAGUGAUAAUAGUUAGAGAAAAUUGGCCCAUGUACCCUUAAAUGAUCCCUUAAUUUGAGCUUUGCGCCUGAAAUGACAGUAUUAGUUUUAUUCUGAAAUUAACCUUACUUCGUCGUUGACGGCUUUAGAUGAAGUUGUGUCAGUAUACUCUGUGCAUGUCGAAAAUAUGUAUCAGAUGGAAAAUUCUUUUCUAGUUCUCUUUCUUCUCGUAAUCUCUUUCUUUUCAAAGGUCUUUUUUUUUCUUUUCACUUCUCUAUAUUAAAUGUGUGUUUUGCAAUGUCUUUCUUCUCUCCUUCUCUAUUUUCUUCGUAGAUUCUUUAUUUUUGUUUCGUUUUUUAAAUCUAUAGAUCUUUAUAAUUUAAAAAAAAAAAAGAAAGAAAUUCAUCUCAAAUUUGUUUUGCACUACUUUUUCAUAUUAUGUUCUUCAUCUAGACUUUUUUGAUUCCUUUUAUUUUAUUUUCUAUGUUUGAUUUUUCUCAUUAAUAUAUUUUAUCUCUAAUGAACUCUCUUUCCAGGGUUGGGAAGUUGCUGAAGAUCGAAGAUGAAUCCAGAGUGAUGGCUAGCAAUUUCGUGAUGUUUGUUGAUAUAUAUAACAUUUAUGUUAGCAACCAUUUUACUUGUUACCCAAUAUUAUUUAUGUUUAUUAGUGUAUAGAAAACAAAAGAUACAUAGUUGGUUAAAUAAUAUAUGGCUUGUUAGGCGUUAAAUUUUUCUUGGUAUUUUAUUUAUUAGCUAAUACAUUAUUUGUUAGUUGAUACAUAUUUUCGUAGUAGAUACAAUUUUUUAUUAUAUAUGUUAUUGAUUCUUUUAACACACUAGACAUAAUCAUGAUCAUCUAACAAUGGUUUGUUAGCUGAUAUAUGAUUUUUUUUUCUGAUUAAAUAAAUUUAUUGAUCAAAGUGGAAAAGGGAUUUACAUAAGAUGAUCUAUUGUUCUACUCUAUAAAGAAUAAAACAAUGAUAUGUUCUAAUAUGUGUAGACAGUAAACCAUCUCAAAAGUAGUCCGCUCAGCAUAUGGUUUCCCCUAUACUUCAAAGAUGAGAUGUGCUUCUUGACAAUAUUCCCAAUAGCCUUAGUAGUUGUAUCCACAGGUGCACACACCUCCGUGCCGUCUUGAGUUCCUCUCCUUCCACAGCAUAUAAAUGGCUGUUUGGAAAACUAAGCGGAGGAAUAUAGUAUCGAUUCUGCUCCUGUUCUGGUGUAACAUGGAGGUGACUAUAUUUUCCCAGUCCGGUGUUAUCGCUGGACAAAGUAAUUUCUUUGCUACAUUCAUCCAAACUGUAAAGGUAUAAGGGCAAGCGAAAAACAAAUGAUCUCUGCUUUCAUUCUUGUGGGUCUCCACAGUAGACACAUCAUUGCUCCAUUCCCCAUUCUUUUAUUCUAGUGUCUGUUGAUAAUCUGUCUUUGAAAGCUAACCAUACCAUGAAGGAUUGUCGGGGUAUGGCCUGAGGGAACCACACAAUACAAUGCCAAGGAAGCUUUGUCUUUUUAACUCUCAGGUAGUUCCAAGUCUUGGUAGCUGAGAAAUAUGGUUUCAAAUCAUCCUGGUCAUGUCUCCAUAGAGCUAUAUCUGGCUCUGCAGUAGCUACCGGCUGUGAAAUAUCUGCAAGCUGAUAUAUGAUUUUCGGAAUAGACAGUUUUGUUUUUGGUUUGUUAGAUGAUCAUGAUUAUGUCUAGUGUGAUAAAUAGUUUGUUAUAGGAUACAUGAUUUAUUACCCGUCACAUAUUUUGUUAGCUGAUGAAUAGUUGAUACAUGGUUUGUUUCAUGGUUCACAAUUUAUUAAAUGAUACAUACAUACAUACCAACUAACACAUAUGUUAUCAAGAACGGGUUCUUCUUAAAUUUUUGAUACACCACCGCAUGAAUUAUAGUUGAAGAGAAAGACCACAACACAGAAUUUCUAUUAAUAUGAUUGGAAAUUGAAAACACAUUAUGAUUUGAAACAUAAAGGGAUAAGAACAAUGUUCACUGGAAGGGAUAAAAUCCCCGCAACCUGUCAUAUCGAUCGGAGUGUUUAAUGUUAAAUCCUCCAGUGAGUUUAAUGUCAUAUAGGAGUGUUUAAUGUUAAAUUUUUAAUACAAACAUAAGAACAUCAUUAGUGGUAUGAUACCCAUUUAGAGUAUCUAAUUUAUAUAAUAUUAAUAUUAAAACUAUUAAAUUUUAAACAAAAUAAAAGUCCAACCAAUGAGACAACAACAAAUAUUACCGGAGUCUAUAUCAAAAUGUGUGGAACGUUUCUCUAUAAAGGUACGUUAUCUUUCUAUUGUUUUGAUAUUUUUAUUUCAAGAAACCUAUUCAGAAACUAGCACGCAAGUUUCCUAAGAACAGUUUUUAAAAAAUGAUGUACUGAAUAUCUAUUUAUUAAAAUAAAAAUAAAAGGGAAUAGAGAACUAGAAAAGUUCUUAAUUGAGAAAUUUUGAGAACUUCAUAACAACCUUACUGUCCAAAUGUCAAAUAUUGGUUAGAUUUUUAAUAUCAAAAUUAAAUUUAACUAAGAAAUUAAGUUCUAUUUAAAAUUUAUACUUUUUUGCCGUAAAAAAAUCCAUGUGGAUUCUUACCAAUGGUGUUGCUCUAAUAAGACUAUCCACAUCAAAAAUAUUUCAAUUAGAAUAUGUCACCAAAAUAAUAAUUUUUUUUUUAAGAGAUUCAUGCUGAAAGUCGUCAUUUGAGAAUUCUGGACAUGAGUCUAUCAAAACAUUUGUAAAAAGAAAUCAUUAAAAUAUUGUAUUUUGUUGAGAGAUUCAAAUAAUAAUGUCCUAGCGAAACAUACUUAUGCAUGAGUAUGAUUUCUCAACUUUGUUUGCUCUUUGGUUAGCUAAAACUACAAAGAAAUAUUUGAUAAAAUAUCAGUAUCUGUGAUUGGAUAAGAACGGAUAUCUAAAUUAAUAUUAGUAUUUAUGAUUUGUUAGGAAAGGAUUUUGGAUUAAAUAUUACUAUUGAUUUCGACACGUCUACUAAUAAUUCCCAUCGUUUAGCACCUCAAGACGUAGAAGAAGACAGUAACAUACAGUGAAUAUUAUAGUGGCACAAAUAUAUCAGAACUCAACUGUAUUGUGAGACGAUUGAAGGUACAAAGAAAAAUUUAUUAUGUCUUACUUUUUCCACUUAUCUUCUACUACAUUUUGCCUGGAUUUGAAACUUUAUUAUGCUAUCUUUAGCUAAUUCAUGCAAUAAUAGAUUUCCUUGGGAUGAACUGGCACAAUUUUUUUUUGAACACAAAGAUGAACUGGCACACAUAUUAAACAUUUGUCGGUUAUUUCUUAAGUACAUUCCAGAACAAAAACAUACUAAUGUAUGUUGAUAUGUAUUACCAUUUACAAGAAUAACAUUGACAAAAGAAUAAAGAGUAGAUGUUCAUACAUUUUCAGUGUCACAUGAAAACACAGUUAAGUAAGUUUGGGUUGGCUCAAAAUAGUCAAAGCAAGUUAAGCGAUCAUUUAGGCCGAAUACUAUAGAUUAUAGACACAUUCUCUCUCUCUCUUUUUUUUUUGCUAAAAUUCUCUCUCUUUUUUCUAAUGGUUUUUCCUUUAAAGUAAUGCAAUCGGGAAUUUUUUUGCUUGUUACUGUUCAAAACCAAUAUAAGAGCUAUAAACCCAAUCUUUAUGAAAAAAAUAUCAUGAAACUAAUAAAGAAAAUUGACCUUCCAAUAUAUAAUUACGGAUUUCAAUUUCAUGCAUGCAUGCAUGUCCCUGCACCAUUCGUUUCUUUGUUUUCUCUCACGACCCAAUAAUUUGAAAACCAAGUAAAUUAAAAGAAAUAUUGGUGGUCGUCUGAGUACUUGAGUAUUAUUCGCAAGGACGUGUUGUUGGUCCAUAACCAGCAGAAAAGACCAAGAAAACGAUAUUGGUUUUGAUGUUGAAUACACGUCGGUCCGUCGACAGCAGAAAAGAGAAUAAAAUCCAGACGCCAUAUGAAUUUGUUUAUGUCGGUAACUCAAUAGCAGAAAAUAGGAUUAUAUAUAUUGAAUCAAAAAGCGAUCAUCGUUUUGAUAUUUUAAUUUACGCAUGUACCUGCACUAAAAAUAUUGAAAUAAAAAUAAUAAUUUUAAUUUUGAUUUUUUGAGGAAAAUAUCACAAAUAAAAUACUUUCAUACGUAUCUUAACAUUAAAAUAGUGAUAUAUUUUAAUAUAUAUAUAUAUAUAUAUAUAUAUAUUUAUCUACUUUCUUAAAAAACAUUCAUUAGAAAUACUCUUAAAACAUAUUAAAAAAAAACAUUUUUAUUGAUUGCAGAUUUUUUUGUAAAACAGAGGUUGACUAACGAAAUGGUUGGUUUUCAAGUUUAUCAAUUGAAAUGAAAUCACAGUUAACUCUGGAUUUAGCUAACUUUUAAAUUAACAAAUCAUUUGAAGGAACUCCACAUGUCCUAUUUCUUAAAUAUGCUUUUAGCAUAAUCUCUAAAUUUCCUGGAGCUUCAAGAGUCUCAGAAUACCGCCCUAUUUCCUGUUUAAAUACUAUAUAUAAGGUCAUCUCGAAGUUCCUAGUUUCAAGACUCAAACCUAUUCUACCGCACUUGAUUCUCCCGUGUCAAACUGCAAUCGUUAAGGAUAACCUGCUUAUUGAAAACACAGUACUUACUAGUGAAUUGAUCCAUGGAUACCAUAAGAACAAGGGAUAAAAAAAAAUUACCAUAAAGGUGGACAUAGCCAAAACUUUCGACACAUUAUCAUGGGAAUUUCUCCCUUGAAGGUCUCCACAUCCCUCCUAAGUUCAUUUUAUGGCUCAAGGCCUGCAUAUGCACGACAAGCUUUAUGAUUGGCUACAAUGGUACAGUCUCAGGUUAUUUUAAACGCAAAAGAGGCUUAAGGCAAGGUGACCCACUGUCCUCUUACUUAUUUGUGAUCGUUAUGAACUGUCUAUCCUUUAUGCUAAACAAUGCAGCGGCUCAUGGGAACAUUUAGCAUUCCAAAUAUUGUAAGAUGAAACUAACACAUCUAUCAUUUGCCGACGACAUACUGAUUUUCAUAGAUGGGUCUUUGGAGUCGGUCCAAAAUGUGCUUCAAUUCCUCCAUGAAUUUGAGCAACGGUCUGGCUUGGCGGUCAGCUACCAAAAAACAAGUUUUUAUGCAUCAGGUAUGUCUCCUCAAGAAAUUGAAACGAUACAGGCAUCUACUGGAAUGUCUUGUGGGACUCUACAUGUCUGCUAUCUUGGAGUAUCGCUCAAUUCAAAAAAAUUGAACCUUGCCAAUUGUGAGCCUCUCAUUCACCAGAUCAAGUCAAGACUCUUCUCUUGGUCAGUGAAGUCACUCUUCUCAGGCAGGCUCCUCCUCAUUAAAACUGUGUGAUUGCGGGAAUCACAACAUUUUGGUGUUCAGCCUUCAUCCUGCCAAAAACGUGUGUUUGGCGUAUCAAAUCUAUGUGCAGUGUGAUCUUAUGGAAGGGAGAAAUUGAUGGCCACAACUCUGCAAGAAUGGCUUGGGAGACAGCAUAACUUACAAAAGAUCAGGGAGGCUUGGGGAUUAGGGACCUCCAAACUUAGAAUAAGGCUUGCUGCUUAAAGCUAAUAUGGAUGUUGUUCUUUUAUGAUGGGUUUGUGUGGGUCGCUUGGUUCAAGAAGGUCAUUAUAAAAGGGUCCAUUCACAACUACUGGACAACUAAACCAAGCAGCUCCUACUCAUGGCUAGCCAACAAACUCCUCAAUCUAAAAAAUGAAAUCUUCCCACUCAUCAAAUUGCGGCUGGAGAAUGGUGUCUCUGCUAAAUUUUGGUUUGAUAACUGGACUCCCUUUGGAAGCCUUUCGACUUUCCUCAGUAACUCCUCAUCAAAAUCAGGUAUUCAUGAAAAAGCUUAUGUAGCCUCACAAUGUAGGAAUGGAAUUUGGCUGCUUCCACCUGCAAGAACAGAAGAACAAGUUCAAUUACAGACAUACUUCACUACCGUCACUCUCACUCAGGCUCAGUACUGCUAUGAAUGGGAGCUGGAAGGUAAACCUACUCAGACUUAUAGCAUCCGAGAUGUUUACACUUACUUGAGAGGAGAAAUCAAUUAUGUGAUUUGGUCUUCCUAUGAGAUCCGAAGACACAACUUCCUUGUUUGGUUGGUAAUCCAAAACCGAGGUCCAACUAAAGAGAAAAUACUCGGAUGGAGCUUUCAGGUUUCGCUUUCAGUUUUGAUCUUUGGUCCUUGGCUGCUUCACGGUGUAGGAUCACCCCCACUAGAGAUUGGAACGAUACAGUCUCUUAGAUGAUUGGACUACCAAGAAGCAAAUCGAGGCGCCAUCAAACUCUCCUAACUCUCCUAGCUUGGAAAAUAACAAUAUACUGGACAUGGAAUGAAAGGAAUUCUCGUCUUCACUCCAAUGUAUAUUGAUCGGUCAAUACUAUCUUUGCAAUAUUUGAUCGUCAACUGAGAAACAAGAUUAUGAGCUUCAGAGCAUCUAAUCCGGUUAUCUCCGCAGCAAUGUUGCAAGCAUGGUUCUCAGUGGGUUAGACUUCUCUCCGUCGACGGAUUCAUCAUCUCCCACCUCUCAACCAUCGUGCUUUCCGUCACAAGAAAACUGAUUGUCUUUUCUAAUCUGGAUACGUGGACUCUUUUUCUGUGUAUUUAAUGGGUCAUGGGUCAUUAAGAUUCAUUUAUUAUGAGUUUUAAGUCUGGGUUUGAGCUUCGGUAACUAAAGCCAAAAGCUUGUAAACAAUUUUUUUUUUCAUUUAAUGAAAGCCUAAGUUACAGAAAAAGAAACACAUUCAUGUAUUUCAAUACAUAACAAAUGUACUGUAUUCCUUGACAAAAGAACAAAAGUAGAGUAAUUAUUUGCUAUUAUUACAUAUUAAGCAAAAAAUGUUUUGAGGAUUUGGAUUUGGGUUUGUCACAUGGAUACCCAGUUAACAGCCUGGGCCGAUUCAAAGAACUCAAAGUAAACCUGAGCCAAUUAUAUUAGACUUCACGGCCCAUUAUAUAAGCUUCUUCUGGUCUAGUGGAUGGUCUCAAUUCUCAAAAUAUUCGAGGAAAUGAGAAAAUGUAUAGCAUCCAGCCUUGGAAUGAGCAAUAUUGCUGUAUAACAGAGAUGUCAGGGAGAGUAGACCGCGUUUGUGGAGCCUACGAGUUUCUUAAAAGACUUGGUGAAGAAGGCAGGUGAAUGUAACCGAAUUUACACCUGACAAUUUCAUGUAAACUCCGUUACAAAAAAAAAAAUUCAUGUAAACUUUUGUAAGAUAUAAUCAUAUAAACGUAAUAAUGUUACUUGCUUUGAAUUAAUAAAAAGUUAUUACAAACAACAAGCCAUUGGCCAAACUAUAACCAUAACCUUAUGAAUAUCAAAAAUAAAUUUUAUAAUGUAUUUAUUAGUGAGGUUGAACUUUAUAGUAGGGUUUUUAUUUUGGUUUGUAUAUGAUGAUCAUAUUAGAUAUUACAACUACCAUAUGCAUGGAGAUUGAAAAUUGCAUGAACAACCUAAAAAAAAAACUUACUAGUCAUUAAACUCAACCACUAGUCGUCCACCACUAAAUAAACUCAUAAGAAAUAUAUUUAUACAUACAGUUGUAUCUUUUUUAUAAAACUACAGAAAUGCUAGGUGAAAGAAUACUAGAAAGUUUGUUCCAGCCUAUCAUUUCAUGUGUGUUUACAACCCUAUAUAAUGUGAAGAGACAUAAUUUAAUCAUAAUUAACAUUAAAAGUUAUAAAACAUGAUUGAGAGUCUUGAGCUGUUUUGUUAAUUGUAAUUGGAAUUAAGCUCAAUAUGCAUAUUGAGGUUAAUGGGACUCGUAAUGUUUCUAGAUUCAUCCCCUCUUCCUAACCCAUUUCUCACUCGGUUUUAUCAUUUCUUCAAUGUUUGGCUUUUGUAUUAUAUUGGCCAGACUCGAUAUCAACGUCGAUCAACGUCAAAGACCCGUCUCAGGCAAAAUCGCAAUUAUAGUUAUAACUGUAAUUAACAUCAGAGCUAAGGAAUUGAAAAGAAUAUAGAUAAACGAUAAUGAUCUUUAAUCUAGGCAUGUUAGUAGCCUAUACUACCUUCACCAAAAAAUCUUCCUAGGCAAGUUUGAUUUCAACAUCAUCCCCAUAUAAUUGUCAAAAGACUAUUCUGGUCUUUCAGAAAAUUCUAUUAAAUAUAUUUCACUAAUCCAAAUUUUAGCAAUAAAAAAUGAUUAAAGAAAAAAAAAAAGCCAAAUUAAUUUUGUGGAAGGAAAAAGGCCAAUCACAGUUUAUUUUCGACUACAACUCAUAUAUGUUAGAUAAUAUCAAACCAUUAUGCCAUAAAAAGAAGAAAAAUAUAAAGUUAUAACUUAUAUUUAUAAUUUAAAUUGAAAUUGUGGAUUGAAAAUUUAGAAUUCUUUUUUUUUAAAGGAAAAUUUAGAAUUCUCACAACCUUUAUUGAGCUAAUUUGGUAAAAUUGCAUUCACAUUAAGUUCGUGUUUGAGAAAAUGUCUACAAUCCAAUAAGAAUACAAAAGUUAGUGUAAGCUAAUUUGGUAAGCUAAUUAUGGAUUGAAAAUAUAGAAUUCUCACAACCUUUAUUGAGCUAAUUUAGUAAAAUUGCAUUCACAUUAAGUUCGAGUUUGAGAAAAUGUCUACAAUCCAAUAAGAAUACAGAAGUUAGUGUAAGCUAAUUUGGUAAGCUAAUUAUGGAUUGAAAAUUUAGAAUUCUCACAACCUUUAUUGAGCUAAUUUAGUAAAAUUGCAUUCACAUGAAGUUCGAGUUUGAGAAAAUGUCUACAAUCCAAUAAGAAUACAAAAGUUAGUGUAAGCUAUUUGCCUCGUGCAUCCUCCAUUCAUAUGCACGUUUUAAAAAAGAAAUUAUGAAGUUACAACUGAUAUUCAUAUUUUCAAAUCUAUCGAACUAAUGGUAAAGCAGCCAAAAGCUACUUUCAUACUAAUUUCAUGUUUGAAUGUCUACACUCCAAUAAGAAUACAAAAUUGAACCUAGGCUAUUUGCCUCAUAUUUUUUGCAUUUUAUGCACGUUAUGUGUAUAGUGUAUUAUUUCUAUGACUAAUAUUUGAGAAAUAUAUUUUUUCACAUGCAAUUGAUUUGAACUUCACGUGAGGAUAUUUCAAUUAAUCGCUAAGGUAUGUGAUAUAAAUAUUAGUGCUUAAGAACAUUUAUUUUAAUUUAGCUACGUCUAAUAGAAAUAUGGGCUCCAUAAUUUUUGUCCGAUAAUUUAUUUUGGUAGAAAAUAUACACAUUUAUUUGGGAAACACUAUUUUAUUUUUCUUAUUGCCAAUUUGGAAAUUUGAAUGCAAGCAAGUUCAGUCACUGAAUAUAUAUUCGCAUCUCUAGGACCAUGAUAACGCUACAACCUUAUGCUUAAAACAAAGAUGAUAAAAGGCUUAAGUAUGAAAAUGAAAGAAAAAAACUUAAACAACAAAGGUGUACGAUUUUGAUUAUUUGACAGAGAAAGUCAGACCUAACAUUUCUGCUUUUAAGCGAUAAUAUAUUUUUAAAACGAAUCCGAUCAUUUUCUCAUGGUAGCUUCGAAGAAGACGUAUUACUACUAGUCCCCUCCUUAGACGACGGAUCGAGCCGAACCUCCUCCUCCUCCACCAUCCGCCGGAGGAACUUGUUGGGAAGAUCCGGCGGAUGGAUCCGACCCGAAAGCUAUAGCGGAUGGAGAUACCGUGUACUGCUGAACCACGGCGCGGUAAUUGGCUAGAUCGGUGGUGAUUACUAUCGCUGGUGUAUUACGUGAGGCUCCUGAUCUUUUACGGCCUGUUUCUUGACUCGGACGUGAGUUCAUUUUGUUGUGUGUCUGUGAGAGUUUGUAAGAAAGAAAAGUGCAUUUGCCUUCGUUACUUAUUUGUUUAUUUAUAGGUUUUAUUUUGAUUCGACUUAGCCAGACGAAGACUAUUCUAAAUCAAUCGUGACUGUUAGUUGAGUUUUACCAACAAACUAUAAGAAUUAAGUUUGGUAAUUGGUAAUUGCCUACUUUCCCAACAAGUUUACGAAAUUGAUCCAUUUCACUCUAUGUAUUCUUCUAUUAAAGUAUUACGUAUAAUAAGUCCUUCACUUUACAUAAAACGUUACAAAGCUGACGACAUAUUUUCCUGAAAGUUCUUCUAACCAAAACUAGUGUGAAUCCUGAUCCUGACGUGUGAUACAAACUACAUCAUCGAUCGUUCUCUUUUUAUUAAUCAAAAACAGCCAAUGACCAAGCUUGGUGAUAAUCAAGCCCUAAUUAGAAAAUCACACACGAUAUUAAAGGAAAACUAAUAUUGGGAUCACAAGUGUGAAACAAUACAACAACAACAACAACAACAAAAGUAUAUACCUUCUUUCACUUAUCUCUUCACUUGUUGGCAUUUUCUUCCAUGCACUCUUAUUCAUCACACUUUUUAAAUAAAAAAUUAUACAAAAAAUAACGUACUAUAUAUACAAUCACAUUGGGAGGGCCAUGAGCAGCAUGGUCCGUUAUUUCAACAAAAGAAUUGUUUCACAAAAUUAUACCCCACAUGCCUUACUUGAAUAAUAAACUACUUACCACCAAUCCAUAUAAGGAAUCCACAGAGAAUCAUGGACAAAAAGGAUGGCUAACAUAAAUAACAGACAACAAUGAACACCAGACAAUGUACCAAAGCAACUCUCUCUAGUCUGAAACCCAUUCUGUUCUCCCAUGAUUGUGUCUCAGAAGCUGUGUAUGUACAGAAACGAUGGGAGAGGGAUUUGGGGCUAUGCAAGAAGCCUUUGUUUUAUUGGGUCUGAGUUGCGUCUUCUCUGGUUUUGCGCAGAUGCUUGCGUGAGUUUUCCUGCUCCGAUGAUGGCUUUACCUGACCGUGAUCCUAAGGAUUUUCCUGUUCAAGAAUUAAUAUUCAAAGUUUAGACUUAAAAAGACAAUAGAUCAAAGAUCAAAUGUGUUGCUUCUUAGAUGAAUGUGACUUGUUCCAUGUCUAUUCAAAGACUAUUAUCUUAAUCAUUAUAAGAAGUUUCCUAGGCCUAGAGAAAGAGAUCUGACCACUGUUUGGUAGAGAUAACCGUUCCUUUGGAUUGCUGUGAGAUCUUGGACCAGCACCAUGUCUUCUUGAGUUAACUUCAACAGCAAGGUCGUCUUUAACAAGCUUUGACCUAGCCUUGGAUACCACUGGAAUGCUUCCAGGUGAAGAAGAAUCAUUAUCAGACAGAGAUGGCCUUGUUGCCUUGCCACUCGAAACACCGGAUACAAGAGUUGAAGUGUUUGGCAUCCUGCUUGCACUUUUCAUCUGUGUUUUAUGCACACUCUCAGACUGCUCCAUAUUGUUUAAGUUUACAUCUUCUCUGAGGUUACUACUGUCAAGAAACCGAUUCUCCCAUGGACGAACAGCCAUCCAUCUCUCCAGCCAGUUCCAUCCCCAGUUGUUUUUGUCAGGUUGAAAUCCACUGUGCGCAGACAGCUGCCUAGUUCCUGCUUGCCACUACAAUACACCAAAUUCAAAUGUAAGAGAAAGAAUGAUCCUUAACUAGGAUAGAGGUUGUUGUGAGUAAAACCUGGUGAGUCAAAGCAUAAGCCAUAGCCCUCUCACGCUUAGCUGCAGCUUCCUGCCUCUUUAUCAGCUUUGCUUGGAUUUGCUCAACAGAUCCAAUGCUAUCACACCAACCUUCCUGAUAAGACAAUGUCAACACAACAAGAACUCUCUCAACAAAAGUAACAUAAAAUUUGUAUUUAGACAAGUGAUCAUCAGUCAUCACCUCUAUUUCUCGAACCCGGGAUUCAUCUGUUACUUGCUGUUGUAGCGUCUGCUGACCCGUUUCAGUUUCCAAGGAGAGACGAACACGUCUUGCACGUACACGAGCCUGGACUCUUACCAACGCUUGCAUGCACCGAAGCGUCACAGCUGCUUGUUUUCUCACAACGUGUCCUCUAACAAGGGCUUGUAGUCUCACCAAUCCCUUCAACGCUCUUAAAGCCCUUCUCGCCUACAAAAAAUUGUAUCUCCAAUUUUUCUCAGUCCAAUCAAGGCCAUAAAGAAUAGACAAUCACAGCACAACAAAUAAGAGGACUUAACAAGGAGAAAUUGAUACCAGAAAGGCUCGAAAAGCAGUUUGGAUGCGCGUUGCAGCCAGAUGUUCCUUCCUUUGUUCUUCAUAAGCUGCACCAUAUGACUGUAAUGAAGUUGAAGUAGAGACUCCAGCAUCUAUCACACUAUGCACAUUUGAAUCAUCAAGUCCAUCUUGGAACUUGUCAGCAUCAAAAUCAACUGAAUGCUUCCUCCCAAACCGGCUCUUGGUAGCAAUCUUCACCUUCAUCAGUUGAACAAACAUUUAAUGAAAACACAAAAAGAAAAUGAAAGUUGUAACCAAUAAUUGAUAAAGAGAUUCUCUAGUCAUUUACAUUAUCAUCCUUCUUUGAAGACUUUGACUUGGUGAAACCAACCAAUGCUUUAAUCCAUCUCCCUGAAGCACCCAUUGCACAUCAAUGAUAACAACAAACCUGCAAAACUGUAGCUGAAUUAUACAAAAAGAAACGAACUUUCUAUUUUGGGUCAAAGCAAAAAAACAAGGAAACUCAAUUGGGUAGCUAAAUGCUUCAGACACUGUUUUUUCGUUUGACCAAAACUUUUCGGACAAUGUUUUUUUUUUGUUUGACCAAAACUCUUCAGACAAUGUUUGGGAUCCCAGAGGAACACUAAAUCAAACAGCUGUCUAAAGCAAAAGAAUAAGAAAAUUUUGCAAUAAAACUUUCAAAUUAAGAAACAGAGAGAGAGAGACACUCGAGAGAGUAAGCAAAGUUAGAAACUUUACCGGCGGGGAAGGAAAGAUCAGCAGCCGAUGAGAUCCCCGAGGAGGGUGUGAAAGUGAGUGAUCUUCAGUCUCACUGACCGUCUUUCUUGCCUACUUUCUCUCUAUCUCUCUAGAUUUGGGUGAAGGAUUAUUUAUUACAGAUAGGAAUUGACUUGCUGAAAUUUGAUUUUUUUUUAUCGUUUCGUUUCCCUCUCCUUGGAUACGAAUGAGUGAAUGAUUGGAUAGAUUGCACGCCGUCAGGGUGCUAAAUUUACGCCGUGUAACCCGAACAUGCUGAGUUUGACAGCGUGACAGCGUUUUGUUUAGCUGUAAAACUGCGCGCUGUUUAGAUUCUGUUAUCCUUUUUUUUUUUUUGUGGACUUAUAUAGACUCUCUGAACCAAACUGGGAGAUCUUGAUUCAUGUGAACUACAAUCAUGAGAUUCUGUUAUCUCAUUUUGCAAAAUAAUGAACCAAUAAAUUAUUUAUUUAGUUUAAAAGUAUUGUUGAACCAAAGGUUCUACUAAAUGUUGAAUGAGUUAAUUGGAGACCAAAACAUGUUAGAAAUCUCGUUUAUUAGAAAUAAAUUGAAUCCGAUUACACAAGUGAGAGAAGGUUUAAGUAUGUAAUAAGUUCACACCAUUGAGUCGAGACAAUACGAUGUCUACUAAGAGAAUCAAACUCGGGUGUUUUUUUUUUUUACAAAUCAAACUCGGGUGUUUAUCUUUCCAAAUUCUCUCUAGACACUUUUUUAAAAAUAUGAAAUACAAAUAAAAAAGAAUUAAAAACAUCUAUUUUCGCCAAUAAUUCUCCCAAAACAAAACUCAAAACAAGAAAAAAGGAUGCAUAAACUCAAACAAAAGACACAAAAUAUUACUUUUUCCGUUUCAAAAUAGAUGUGAUUUUAGAAAGUUUUUAAUAUUUUAAAAUAGAUGAUGUUUUCAUAUAUCAAUGCAUUUUUCACUUUAUCAAAAACUGUGUAACUAAUGAUAUGUCUAUUUUGUGAUUGGUUGAUUAACUUUUAAUUUAUAUUUUAAUGAUAUUUUUAAGAUAAAAAAACAAAUUUCUUAAUAGUUGUGCACAAUCUUAAAAUUUUAUGUAUUUUGAAAUAGAGGGAGUACAAAACUAGAUGGAACCUAGCUAUUGUUUUCCAGUAAAUAAACAUAUAUAUUUUCUCUACAUUAAUGAAAGAAAAUAACAGAAAGGUAUACAUAACGGGUUGCAUAAAACCAAAAACAAAGUUAUAUGUAAUGGAUCACUGUUUGACGCUGACGAUGAGUUCGUCCGCGUCUAUGAUCAUUGACGCCGAACAACCAAUGCGAUUUGUGGGAAAGCAAUGGUCAAUCCAAUCACGACACCAGGUGCGAAACCUAUGGCUGCUGCAAUCCAGCUCAAGACUUGUUCCUCUUCUUCCUCCUCUAGCGGCGGGUCAUCAUGCCCAACCACUCCACACUCGUCGAGAGGAGCACCACAAAACCCCGAGACUCUCUGCGUUUGAAACUGUGUGCUUUGCGGAAUCAUCCCUACGAGCUUGUUGUGUGAAACUCUCACGGUAGAUAGGCUUGUGAGGCCCGCGAGACUAUGAGGAAUUUGUCCUGAGAGCUUGUUAAGAGUGUAAGGAUCCUGGUGUAACUCAUCUCUACUCCUUUAUUCGUCAAAACCAUUUUGAGUCUUGAUAAUAAGUGUUGUCUCCAAUGUACUUCAGUUUUGAAUGAUUUUUCUCCGAGUGCAUAGCGCUCCAGUACAUGAAGAAAUCAGACGGUAAGGCUCCCGUGAAUGCAUUAUGCGAUUCGCAGCUGAGGAAACCAAGUAGCAGCCUUUGGUUGGUAUUGUAACGACCCGUGAAACUCAUUAGAGUGGAGGACGAGUACUUGUAGCUUUGGCAAGCUCUUUAACCAGAAGGGAAAAGUAUCGUUGAUUCUGUUGUGCUCCAUGUUUAAAACUUCUAAAGAAGAGCAAUCAGAGAGAGAUCUUGGGAGUUUAUGAACCAAUUGGUUGCGACCAACAUUGAGUGACCUUAGAUUGCUGCCGUUGAGAAAUAUGUCUGGUAGUUUUCCACCGAGGUGAUUACUGCCAAGGCUUAACACUGAAAGAGACCUCUUGAUGAGAGUAUUGAGGCACUCAGGAACAGAUCCGUUCAAGUUGUUGUUUGAUAAGUUGAUAGGUACAAGCAUACUUAUGAGAGGAGAAGACUGAAGAAGAGUGAAGAGAUGAGAGGAGUCGCGGAGCUGAACGAAGAAGCUUGAAGAAUAAUAAAGGAUGAAAUAAAGACACGUGUGUGUUAAGUAGAGAGACUAUAAAUACUAGCUGAGAGUUUGUUAGACGGUUAUCGAGAGUUUACAAUUGUGAAUCUUAGCAUAUGAGCUGAGAGCUACUCAGGUGAUAGAGUAGUUGAGGAUUCAGGUGAUAGAAUCCUCCAUUGUUGUAAUUCUCGAGUUGCUUCAUCAAUAAAGAGUGUAUUUUCAGUAGUUACGAUCUUUGAUCCUAUCAAUUGGUGCGGUGAAACUGGUUCGUGAUCACGCGACUGCGGCGGAGAUUUGGAAGAUCGCGGAGAAGACGAAGUCGCGAUCGAUACGAUCUACAGCGGAAACGACGAGUUUCGAGAACGAUGUCGAAGGCGAAGAUAGCACCAGAGAGUCCGAUGAUCGGUUCCGAAGAGGAAUUUGAGGUCGAGGAAUCCGAUAUGACGGUGGAUUUCUUGAGAGGUGGUUACUCGAGACUCAAUCGCGCGAUGAAGGAGGUAGAGAGUAAUCAGGAGAAGACGAAUCAAGAGCUCAACGCGAUGCGACAAAUCUUAGAGCGCCUUGAUCCAUUACGGAAUCAACAACAUCAUUCACAGCCAAGUUCCUCCCGCGAUCAGGUACACUCUCGUCACUGGGAACGAAACCGGGAAGAACAAUCGCUAGGUUAUCGAUCUGGGAAUAUGAAUUUGGAUACUAGAGAUUCGAUGUUGAAGAAGAUACCAAUGCCUGUGUUCUCGGGGAAGCAACCUUACGUAUGGAUCACAGACGUUGAGAGAUGGUUUAGUAUUGGGAGGUAUGAGGAUAUGGAGAAGCUAGAGCUGGUUGCAUUAAGUUUGGAAGGAUGUGUGAAGAAGUGGUUUGGCUGGGAGCUGAAGAGGAGUGGGUUUCGGAAUUGGCAAGAGUUCAAGGAGAAAUUGCUGUUGCGGUUCACUGAGUCUAUUGAGGAAGAACCAGCUAGUCGUCUCAUUGCACUCAAGCAAACAGGUUCAGUGGCUGAGUAUGUAUCAGAGUUCGAAGAGUUAUCAGAAUUGGUUCCGGGAUUAACUGAUGAGUUCUUGAUCAAGAUCUUUUACAACGGACUCACACAAGAGAUGAAAGAGGUAAUCAGAAUGAAAGAGCCUAAAGGACUGGAGAACCACAUCGCAGCUGUCUUGAGAAUGGAAACACAAGAAUCAUUUGACCAUUUGAAGAAAGCCAUGGUUUCAGCUCCUGUAUUGGCCCUACCUGACUUUACGAAGCCAUUUAUAAUUGAGACUGAUGCGUCGGGUUUUGGGGUUGGAGCCGUGUUAAUGCAGAACAAGAAACCAAUCGCAUACUUCAGCCAUGCUCUAACACCAAGAGAGAGACUGAAACCAGCAUACGAGAGGGAGCUCAUGGCAGUGGUUUUUGCGGUACAAAAAUGGAAACAUUAUCUACUUGGUAGGAAGUUCGUGGUCCAUACAGAUCAAAGGAGCCUGAAGUAUUUGUUGGAGCAGAAGGAAGUGAACAUGGAGUAUCAGAAAUGGUUGACGAAACUUCUAGGCUAUGACUUUGAUAUCGUAUACAAGCCGGGUUGCGACAAUAAAGCGGCAGAUGGGUUGUCUCGGAUUGAAAAUGGGAGUUUAUUACACUGUGGAUCAGUCUGUUUGGCAUUGACAAUGCCUUCAGUCAUUCAAAUCCAAGAUAUAUACAACGAAAUAGCGGCGGAUGUAGAAUUGCAGAGGAUGAUUUCAUUGGUGAAAAAGGGAGAAUCAGUUAACGCACAUUAUCGAGUGAUUGAUAACAAAUUAUGGUACAAGCAGAGGUUGGUUAUACCGAAACAGUCGACGUUGAUACCAUUGAUCCUGUUUGAAUGUCAUGAUGGGAAAAUAGGGGGUCACUCAGGAGUAUUAAAGACAGUAAAGAGAGUUCAGACAAUGUUCCAUUGGGAAGGGUUAUUCAAGACAGUGCAGAAGUAUGUCUCAGAAUGUGGAGUGUGUCAAACUCACAAGUACUCUACACUAUCACCAGCAGGGUUACUACAACCCCUACCAGUUCCGGAGCGUGUAUGGGAAGAUAUCUCAAUGGAUUUUGUGGAAGGUCUGCCUACUUCUCACGGUAUUAACGUGAUCAUGGUCGUUGUUGAUCGCUUGAGUAAAUAUGGCCACUUUAUAGGACUGAAACACCCGUUUACAGCAGUGGAUGUGGCAAGUAAAUUCAUGUCAGAGGUUGUUCGUCUCCACGGCUUUCCAAAGUCAAUUGUCUCGGAUCGUGACAGGAUUUUUUUGAGCAACUUUUGGAAAGAUUUGUUUCGUCUCUCGGGCACUAAACUGAAGUAUAGUACAGCUUUUCAUCCACAAACAGACGGUCAAACAGAGGUAUUGAAUCGAUGUAUGGAGACCUAUCUUAGAUGCUUUGCAUCAGGACAUCCUAAGACGUGGUAUAAGUUCCUCGCAUGGUCUGAGCUAUGGUAUAAUACAUCAUUUCAUACUGCGUUAAAAGCAACGCCAUUCCAGGUCGUCUACGGCCGGGAACCGCCUCGGUUGUUACGAUUUGAAAAGGGUUCAACACUGAACUUUGAGUUGGAAUCUGCACUGAAGGAGAGAGAUGCUAUGUUGGUUCAGAUUCGUCUUCACUUGGCUAGGGCUCAGUCUUUGAUGAAGUCUCAAGCCGACAAACAUAGGCGAGAUGUUCAGUUUACGGUGGGCGACUUGGUGUAUCUUAAGUUGAAGCCAUUUCGUCAGAACACAGUGGUCAAACGUUAUUGUCAGAAACUUGCUGCGAAGUACUUUGGACCAUAUGAGAUUACAGAGAAGGUGGGAAAGGUAGCUUAUCGUUUAAGGUUACCUAUUGAAUCCAAAAUACACCCUGUCUUUCACAUUUCACAGUUGAAAGCGGCGUUGGGACAAGAUCAAGUUCGUCAGGUGGUUCCACCUACUUGCACAGAUUUGGAGAACAUUGUUAUGGAACCAGCGGAUGUAUUGGCUUCUCGUGUUCAAGAUGAUGGCAUGGUGGAAUUAUUGGUUCGUUGGCAAAACUCCUUGGACCAUGAGGACUCGUGGAUGGGGUUGAGGGAGUUUGAGGAUCAUUUUCCAGAUUACAAGCUUGAGGGCAAGCUUGCUCUCAAUGGGGGGAGUAUUGAUAGGUACAAGCAUACUUAUGAGAGGAGAAGACUGAAGAAGAGUGAAGAGAUGAGAGGAGUCGCGGAGCUGAACGAAGAAGCUUGAAGAAUAAUAAAGGAUGAAAUAAAGACACGUGUGUGUUAAGUAGAGAGACUAUAAAUACUAGCUGAGAGUUUGUUAGACGGUUAUCGAGAGUUUACAAUUGUGAAUCUUAGCAUAUGAGCUGAGAGCUACUCAGGUGAUAGAGUAGUUGAGGAUUCAGGUGAUAGAAUCCUCCAUUGUUGUAAUUCUCGAGUUGCUUCAUCAAUAAAGAGUGUAUUUUCAGUAGUUACGAUCUUUGAUCCUAUCAUAAGUCCACAACUUCUAGGGAAGUCAUAUCACAUAUCGAUAUGGGAAUCUCUCCUGAGAAGUUAUUUUCGCUCAGAGAUAUCACUUCCAUCUGCGUUUUUGAGAGAUGUUUUGGGAAUUGUAUGAAACCGCUGAACAUGUUGUUGGAGAGAUCAGCAUACGUCAGUUUUGGAAGUUUCCAUAACCAACCGGGCACUCCACCUUUGAUUUCGUUGUAAGAAAGGUCUAAGGAAAUCAUAUGUUGUUGGGUUCUUAUGAACUUUGGAAAUCUUGUGAUACCACAGUCUGACAUUUUCAACCUGUUCAGUUGCGAUGAAAGAAUGGAAACUGAACUCAUGUUUUUAGGUGAAACAUAGUUGCCUGAAAGACGCAAUGUAGUCAGCGACUCGAGAUGCGAGGAUGAAAUUUUAUUCAAAUCAAUCACAGUGGUGGUGUUUAAGUAGGAUAGGUAAAGAUGUUUGAGCAACUUGAGAUGUUAGAAGAUACCAAAGUCAAAUGGCGCUUGAGUGUCCAAAUAGGAAAGAUCAAGGAACACAAGGUUGACAAAUUUUGAUAUGGAUCUAGGGAUUGGCCCUGUCAAAUCGUUUCGGGAGAGAUCUAGUUCUUGUAGCUUAGACAUUGAAGAUAUAUUCCCAAUCUCAAGAGGGCCACUGAGUUGGUUAUUAUUUAAAAAUAUUGUCUCCAAAGAAGGAAUGGUGAAGAGAGUAGACGGGAUUGAUCCAACAAAAGAGUUUAAACUUGCAUCAAAGUACUUCAAGUUGGAGAGUGAAGUGAUGUUAGGAGAAAGAGCGCCUGUGAAGUGAUUGAAGGCUAAUGCUAAAUCUGUUAACUUUGUGAGAUUGAGUAAUGCAGUGAGAAAAUCUCCACUGAACAUGUUAUUCAACACAUUUACAUUGGUCAUUUGGUUAAGGUUUUGUAUUGAAGAUGGGAUUUCACCAUCAAAGUUAUUAGAAGAAAGGUGGAGAGUGUUGAGGAGAGAAAGGUUUCCAAUUGAAAAUGGAAUCUUCCCUGUGAGGUUACAAUUGUCAAAUCUCAAGACAUUCAAGUGUUUGAGGUUGCCAAUGGAGGUUGGUAUGUAGAGAUGUCAAAUGGGCUGUCCAUGUCCAAUGGGCAUGUCCAAAUGGACAAACUAGUUUAUUGGACAAUAUUAUUUUUAAGUCCAAAUUGGACCAUGUCCAAACUGUCCAGACCAAAUGGGCAUUCCGCGAGGCCCAAUUAAAAAAACAGUGUUAAAAUACAAAAAUUUAUAUGCAACAUAAUUUCACUACAUUUCAUGGAGUUUAAAAAUAUAGAUAAAGUUCAUACAUCAUCCAAUGGCCUAAAUAAGCUUCAUACAUACAUAGAUUAGGUUCAUACAUUAUUCAAACUCCAAAGCAUAGAUUAGGUUCAUACAUACAUUAGAUUAGGUUCAUACACACAUAAUUAAACUUCAGUCUUUCCUCUCACUCCAUCAUUAGAGAUUAACCUGCACAAGAGACCCCAACAUUACCAUCAAGCAAACAACAGAACGUCUUCUACAUUGAAUUGUGUCAGUUUCUAAGUGAUUAAACCAGAAACACAAUUACAGCUACAGCUCGUUUCUAAGUGAUUAUACCUUUAAUUGUGUCGAGUCUUCUUCUUCUUUCCAUUUCCUUCUGCUUCCUCAUUGGCAUCUUCCUGAACUUCCUCAUCUAAAUCGCAUCCAGCUAUCAAAAACAAGAAGUUCAAUCAAUAAUUUCACAUAUCAAAGCUCAAUUAUAAAUUCAACAAACUCACCAAUCACUUCAAAACCACGAAGCCAGUUUCUAGCACAAAUCAAAGCUUGGACAUUUGAUGGAAGAAGGCGGCUCAUGUACUUGCUAAGAACCCGACUUCCCACACUGAAGGAUGACUCAGACGACACUGUUGUUAUUGGGAUGCAUAGGACAUCACAUGCCAUUCGAGACAGCUCCUUAAACCUGUUUGCAUUGUCCCUCCAGUACUUGAUGACAUCUAACUUUUGAUUUGCAACCAUAUCGAGCACAGGUUCACUCAGAUACAAAUCUAAAGCAGAUUUCCUUGUUCCUGCUUGUUGAGAGAAGAACUCAUAGAAGCCCUGCAAAAAAAAGAGAUUAUUAAAGCGUAUGUUGAGAGAAGAAUACACAUCUGAUUCUGGUAAAUAAUUUAAAUAAUUUAAGUAACUUACCCCAUAACCAGAUGGUAAAGCAUUUGCUUCUACUUCUUGUGAACUAUGCGCACUAGUAUUCUUCUUGUAAUCUCCAUACAGCUUCAACAUCCUUUUGCGUAUGUAAUCCAUUCGGGAUUUACAAGUUGCUGGAUCUGAACUGUGGUAGCAGUACUCCAAAACCUUGAACUUUAGCCUAGGAUCUAACACUGCUGCAAUGGCUAAAAUGUCGCUGUACUCUUCCCAAUACUUAACAAACUUCAUCCUCAUGGAAGCCACCAUAUCAGCAAUCACUGUAUCUUCAUGGAACUCAUUUGAACUCAACCAAUUUUGAAUUUUCCAUACUUCCAUGAAGUACAGAUUCGCGGUAGGGUAAGAAGAGCCGGAAAUGAGCCUUGUCAUCUCUUCAAACGGCUGUAACAGAUUACAAAUCAGCCCAGCUCUUAACCACUCAGACUCUGUAGGUAAGCUCUUGUAACUUGCUUCGAUUUCUGCAAGAUUCUUAAAUGCUUCUUUGUAGUGAAGAGCCCUAGACAGCAUCAUAUAAGUUGAGUUCCACCGCGUAGUGACAUCCAAAACUAAACUGCCUUUCUUAACAAUUCCAAGAGUCUCCACACAGCCUUGAAACAGCAACUCUCUAGACUCACUGACCUUGACAUACUUAACACUGUCUCUGAUCUUCUCCAAAGCCUCACUUAUCACCGCUAAUCCGUCUUGGACAAUGAGAUUCAGAAUGUGAGCAGCACACCUGAUGUGAAAGAACUCGCCACCGCAGACUAAAUCCUUUCUAAGUUGCCUCUUGAGAAAUCCUUGCAUGUUGUCAUUUGAGGAGGCAUUGUCUACGGUUACUGUGAAGACCUUCUUCUGCAACCCCCAUUCUUUAAUCAGCUCCAUUAGUUUCAUGGCAAUGGCCGGACCAGAAUGGGGUGGAGGGAAAGCACAGAAGGAGAGGAUCUUAGCUCUAAGGUUCCACUCAGUGUCGACAUAGUGGGCAGUAAGACAGAGAUAGCCUUCGAUUGUGAUUGCUCUCCAUAGAUCCGUCGUUAGACAGAUCCUACCCGGAACUUCACUCAACACCUGCCUGAGCUUCAUUUUCUCCCUCUCGAAGAUCUUAAAAACAUCUGAAACCGCCGUGUUUCGACACCAAAACUCUAUGGUCGGGUUGGCAUAAUGCAAAGCUUCUCGAACUCUUCUGUACUCAACAAAGGAGUAAGGUAGAUCAUGCUCGACAAUAGCCACAGCAAUCAUUUCUCGAAACACCAGCUGAUCGAUCUUAGGACAUGUAUUAUUAGGGGUUUUAGAGCAGGUUCUUGAGUGGCGAAGCAGAGUAGUGGUUCCACUUCUAUGUAAGUCUAUGAUGUAGAAGUGGUUACAGUAGUUGCAGACGCAUUUAAAUUUUCCAUCAGGCAUCCUAUCUCCUUCUAUAGUAAAAAAGUUCCAGCACUUAGAGUGUCUACGCUUGUGUUUACCUUUCACCUCGGCUGUACUCAUCAGAGACUCGUCCACCACAGGAUUGUUCUCGUCCAUUUCCUGUUCUGAAUCCCCAUUGUCACUCAGGUAGUCAUCAUCAUUGUUCAAACUCAAUGUAUCCAUCUGAAAGCAAUAAAAAAAAAACAUCAGAGAAACCCAUAUACAUCUCGCAAGAAAACAACAGUAGCCAGUAAGACAUAAACAAGCUACGAAAGAAGAAACGCUAAAGAAGCAAACAAACCAUGAACCAUUAAGCGUGAACUAGAAACUGUGAGCCCAUCUCGCUAAAGAAGCAAACAAACCCAUUAAGCGUGAACUAGAAACAAACCAUGAACCAGAAACUGUGAACUAGAAACAAGCCAUGAAAGCAAUAGAACCAUCAAACAUUCUAAAGCAAUGUAAGCAAGUUACAAGUCGUGAAACAAAUAAUAAUACCCGUAGUUUUGAGUUACAGAAACACAUUCUAGAAACACAAUCUCAAACAAGCAAACCCAAGAGAGCUAAAUGUUAAAGCCACGAACCAGAGAGAGUGACUAAAAGUCAUGAACCAGAAACCCAUCUCAAAGUCAUAAACAAUGAAAGCAAGUGAAGUUUACUUUUCAAAGUCUAAACCCAUCUCAGACCCAUCAACUAGACAAUCAAACAAACCCACUGAGAGUGACUGAUUUACCUGAGAGGUGAGAAAGUAAGAGACUCGAGAGACUGAGAGUGAAAGGGUCGAAUGUUCUUCGAUCCAGGAGAGUGAGGCUCAAGCUGUACACAAUAAGAGAAACCCAUCAACACAAACCCAUCUCGCAAAACAAGCAAACAAACCCAUCUGAAGAAGAAGAGUGUUUCAAUUUACCUGAGAGACGGGAGAAGUAUAUGGUUCUUCGAUCGGAGACGAUUCAGACGCGAGAGUGAGAGGCGGGACGAGAGAGCUUCUUCAAUCUAGGAGAGUGAGAGAGCCGAGACUCUGUGGAAUCGCAAACCCAUCAUUCCAUCAAACUAAAAGCAAUCAAAUCGCAAACCCAUCAAAAUCGCAAAACCCAUCAAAUCGCAAAAGUGAGUGAGGAGAACAUACCUGAAGGCUGAAGCGAAUCGAAGAAGUUAGAGAGUCGGGAGAGGCGGAUCGAGAGUCGGGAGAGGCGGACCGAGAGCGGAGAAAGGCGGAUCGUCGCCGAGUUUGAGAGAGAAUCGAGACUUCGAGAGAGACAGUUUGAGAGAGAGAGAAUCGCGACUCUGGAUUUUUCCCCAAAUGAAAACCCUAGUUUUUUUAGAUCAUUGGGCCGUCCAUGUCCAGAUGGUUAAGCCCAUCGAAUUUGGGAUUUAUUGGACAUCAACCCAAUUGGACAGCUUUAUUUAUGGGUCUAAUUUGGUUAGUCCAAAUGGGUUUGGACAUGGUUUGCCCAUGGACAUGAGGCCCAUUUGACAUCUCUUGAAAUAGAUGUUUCAGAGAGGUCCAGAUAUACAAGAGAGUUACUUCCAUUGAAUUCUGGGAGAGAGGAUUCUAGAUAUGGAUUCAUACUCAAAUCAAUUGAUUGAAUAAUAGGACUCCGAAGAAAACUCAAAGGAAGUCUUCCGAAUAAGUGGCAUUUAUGAAGGCAGAUUGAUCUUAGAGAGGUCAGGUUUGAGAUCAUUUGAGGAAUUUCUGAGGAAAUGUUUACGUAGCUCAUAUCAAGGUGUCUAAGGUUUGUUAAGUUCUGAGCAAGUUGACCAAGAAAGGGUUUAUCUAUAAACAAGGGACGACUUUGAGAGAGGUUAAAACAAGAAGAAAGGUCGAGAGACACCAACUUGGUAAGAUGAAGAAUCUCAGGUGGAAUCUGACCAGAAAACCAAGAGUGGGAGAGGUUAAGUCUUUCUAACCCCAUGAGUUUAUUGAAGCCAGACGGGAUUGGAGACGCAUUGAAAUCGUUGUAAGCAAGGUUGAGAUUUCGGAGUUGUCGCAGUACAAAAAGACUGCUAUUGAGUUUGAAAUGACCAUGGAGGGAGCUGUAACUAAGGUCUACCCCAGUCACCAUACCUGAGUUAGCAUCGCAUGUGAUACCGUCCCAUUGACAACAGUCGCUGUUGUUUGCCCAUGAUUUUGUCUUGGGAUAAGAGGUUACAUUGACAGGAACCAGAUAAUCAUGUAAUAACUCGUCAAGAAACUCAGGAGGGUUGCCAAGCUCAAACUCACUCUUGAACUCGAGAAGUGCGUCCCUUUGGUCGGGACGACAAAGUGUAAGAGAAGCAGAAGAGUAUAAAAAACUUGAAAUAGAAGAGAAGAACAGAAAUAGGCUCAUUGAGUUGGUUCCUAUCAUCCUUUCUCAGAAUCGGUGCACGUUUUAAUUUCGUUCUGUUGUAUGUGUGUGUGUGUGUUUUGUAGUAAGUGGUCCAAGUCCCUAUAUAUACACACAUAACAUGCAUUGUUCAUUUAGUAGUAUGAACACAUCGUGCAGCGUUUGGUGACAUUUAAACAAAGAGUAUUUGAUUGUCGUUCGCUGUUUUACAAAAAGCAAAAACAGUAUUUACUUUAAUGGUUCAACACAUUAUUUCCUUACGAGUAUGCAAACUUUGGUAAAGAAUGACCCUAAAGAAAUAUAUUAUAAGUUAUCAACGUUGGACAAAUAAAGUUAAUACUGCUUUGGCUUUUUUAUAAAGUAGAAACGAGGAUAUUGUUGUUAAGAUGCAAAACAAGAACAAACUCGUUGUGUUUUGUUCUUCUUUCAUAUAGUUUGGGAAAGUGACAAUGGUUGCCUAUUUUACAUAUGUGUGUGAUUGACAUAUCAUCUUUCUCAAUGACUAAUUUGAUCUUUGCAUUUGCCAUUAAUUUAUGAUAUAACGUUUUCUUCAUGUUUUCUUGAGUUUUUCUCGAGUCAUCAUUCGUUGGUUUUUCUCAAACUUUGUUGUGUUGCAUGCAUUGUUUUUACGUGGUUUCAGAGGAUUAACUCCUACCAGUUUUAUUUUCCAGCAAGACUUUCGGACUUGAUUUCCGGUUUUGAUUGCAAGGCCAUUCGCUGACAGACUAUAUGGCAUGGGUCUCUUAAGGUUUUGAGAAAUACUGAGAGACUUCCGGAUGCAAAGCUUCCUUCUAGAAGCUCCACUAUAAUCAAUUCCAUAUGAAAAGAAAAAUAUCGGUCGCAGAUUUGAUUUAACUUUUAAUUUCAGGAUAUUACUUUUCUCAUACUUUUAAAUUUAAAAUGCUCUGGCCUGAGCAAACAAGAGACUGAAUUGAAAUUGUAACAGCAGAGUAAUACGCUCAAUCACGCUAAUUCCACAAACAACAACUCUGGUUUUCCUCUUUGCAAUUUAAAAAGAGAAAGACUUGAACCUCCUCAAAAUGUAUACUGUAGUGCAGUUGGUGGUUAACUUCUAUCUCUAAUAGAUUAAUCAAGAAUAGCAAUACUUCUGUAAUGCCCAUAAUAUGCAGCACCAAUACUAAAUAACAAAAGCCACCUUGACUCAUCAUAACAGUAUGAUGAUCAUGAAGAAAACAAAUUUUAUAGAAACACAUUUCAAGAACAAUCAAUCCAUCACUGUAAACAGGAACUCUUAUUAGUUGCUAAUAAACUAGUGACGACAUAUAAAUUAAAGUAACAAUAUAGCAAAUGAUCAUUAACUAAAAAGACAAAAUCAGGAACCAGAGAAGUAAAAAACCAUCCGAAACAUGAUCCACAUUCAUUCUAGAAACUACAUAAUGAGUACAAAUUAAAUUCCAGUGAAAUAUAAAGAACGGAAGCGAAAUGAAAUGAAAAGAAAUGGAAAUGGCAGUUAACCAACACGAGCAUCUUGACUAUCCCCUAACAUUAUUUCAUUUCAUGUCCGAAGCACAAGAGAUUGGAUUUGCGGAAUACUAGGCGCAGUAUUGAUUAGACUGAACAACCAAAGGGUAUGGUAUACAGAUUUGUUUAGUCUUAUCUUCCAGAAGCAAAGACAGAGACUACAUUGGCAUUUCACCGAUGCAUAACAAAGCAUUUACUUCAACUCAUAGCAGUUGAAGAUGAAACAUGAAAAUGAAAUCAAUUUCAAGCUCAGAAAAACAACAACUCAUACAAAACAACGAAUCUAAAACCAAAAGACCAACAGUACAUCGAGAGUGACAACUAACUUGAGUAUGCUUCAAUGACCCUUAAUGUGUUCCCACAAGCAAAGACAGAGACUUACAUUUGCAUUACACCCAGCAUCAAAUCCCUUUUAACAAAAGCAUUUCCUAUGAUUUAUAAAAUUUGAGAAUGUAACACAAAAUAAAUUCAGACAAGUCCAUUUCAAUAUCGAUCUAGGCACUGUGAACCUUGAAAAGCAAUUAAGCUUGCAGCAUAUUUCACACAAAUGAUGAUAAAAAUGAUUAAAAAAAGGCAAAUUCUUUCAAAUAAAAAAGUCUUAAUCCAUCCAAAACAUGAUCCACAUUCAUUCUAGAACUACAAAAGCAAUCUGUAAAUUCCAUUACAAAAGAUAAAAAGAAACUCGGUUCUCAGAACCUUAGCUUGGUGAAGAACCACCUGUUCUUUCCAGACUUGAACCUCUCCUCGAGCUUAGCCUUAGCCUCCUUAAGAGCCGCCACCUUCUUGUCCUUCGAAGCCAGAGCCUCGAGAGUCGCAACCUCCUUCAGAUCCACGUCCAACGUGUAACGAGUAGGCAUCAGAUGCUGGUAGUUAACGACCUUGAUGAAACACUUGACCCUCGACUUCUUCGCCGUCUUCUUGGCUGAGUCCUUGCGGAUGACCUUGCUGGGGUACUUCUUGAGCCCGGCGACGAGGCAGUGUCCGUAAGGACGCUCGCGGUUGCCGUCGUCGAAGGAACGGAUGAUCACAGCCUUCUUGCCGGCAUAACGACCUUGAAGGAGGAUCACAGCUUUGUUCUGCUUCAGAAACUUAACCAUGGCUUCGUCUCUACUUUUUUUUCCGGCGAAGAAUAGUUUGCUAUGAAAAUAUAUAUAGUGUGCUAUGGAGAAACCCUAAAGGUAGAAAUGAAAGGCUUCUCAGUCAAGGCUUCUCAGUCGGCCCAUAUAUAGUGGGCUGGGCCUACUGAAAUCCAAAUAUCUCACAACCUUAUUCACACUUUUAAAAUAGAGUAUGCCUUACAAUAUACUUUUUUAAAAUCUUUUUUCUGUAACUACAAUAUUUUUUUUUCUUAAAUCUUUUUUCUGUAAUUACUAUAUUUUUUUUACCUUUAAAAAAAAACAUAAUAUAAGUUGAUAAUAUUUUAUUUCUUUUUUUUUUAAAUAUGUAAUAUAAAAUAACACAAUCUUAUUGGUUGGUGAACCCAAAAAUAACUCUUUUGUUAAUAGACAACAUACAUUUUAAAUGCAUUUCUAACAUUACAUUCAAAGAUCUACAACCUAAAUGAAAUAUUUUUGAGCGAUCAACAUAGAAAAAAGCACUACCAUGAAAUGAAUGGUCAAGGGUCAAGAGGAUCACUACUGUUUAACCAUAGAUAAAAACAAGAAGAGGGUGAAAUAUAGAAGGCAAAGGAGAAGGUAUAUGAGUCAUAGGACGAGGUUAUACUAUUUUCAUCAAUUUUGAUACAUGUUGUGAGAAAUGGCACUAUACGACUUCAAGCCUUUGCAUGUACCGAAUGGGUGAGUCAUUCAUCACCCGGUCAUGGAUUGAUCAAAACUUGAUCAGACCGACCACAAGAAACAAGAAAUGGAGGGACGUGUGUAUGUAUAGAUUAUUUCAGACCUUCUCAAUCUUUUAAAAGUUCCAUUACAAUUAAGAAGAACGUAAUGAGAUAUUGUACCGGACCAAAGGAGGUUAUUAUACCAUCUAUUCAAGUCUAGAUUAAACUGAUGGUGAAUAGAGACAUUUGGGAUAAGCCACGUUGUGGUAAGCCAAAAAGACGACAAUACAAAGGAAACACCACAUAAAAACCUUGAGGAGACAAACUGAUAGGUCCCAGUUAUAGGAUCAUCUAUUGCUGAUCUAGAAACAUGUGAUUUGAUACCAAUUAAGGUCAACUCUUCAAAUCAAAGAGAAUUUGCCAAGAAUAAACUACGAAUACAUUUUUCUUUGGGUAGUUAAGACUACCUCUUUUUGUUGUUUUCAUUGAUUUAAAUAGAUAAAAGUUACAAGAAGCAAUUGUGGGAUCAUGAUCCCUAUACAACGAUGAAAUGGGAAAAGUGGGAUGAUUAAGUUCCUAAACAUUAGGAAGAAUCAGUCUCCAUUAUUAACAACUAAACUCAUUAAACUAAAUAAUUAAAAGAACAAUGAAACACUGUAAACCAGGUCCGGUUCGUUGACCAACGUUAACGCGAUUACUAUCUCAUCACAAACAUUGUAAAAUCUCCAAGGAAUGGAUACCUUAUUGGAUGGAAGGAUGGUACAAAAGAAGUAGCACAAGGUUAUUAAGCAUAGACGUGGGAGAAGGAACGCAGGAGCUAUCUUGAAUCACGUCAGAUUGACAAGAAGAAGAAGAAAAAGAAAAGUUAACAUUGAAGGAUGAUGGAUGGAUGGGUUGAUGGGAGAAAAAGAACAUGCAUGAGCAGUGGAGGAGAAAAGUUUAGAUAUCGAGGGAUAUGGUGAUACCGGAAAAAUCAAUCUGAGUGCUUAAUUGGUUUAUUAAACCAGAUAUGGAAGACCCCCGGUUGGUUGGACAGAAAUUGGAAAAAGAAACACGAUGAAACAAAACUUGUUAAAAUAGACCAUUGAAAAAUUGGAACCGUUCAUAAUAUAGUACGUAGAAAGACCAGAAUAGACAAUAUAAAUAUUUUAGACAUAACAGAAGAGAGAGAGGUCAUGCGACUCAUGCUUGAUAAGUUAAUAUAUAGGAAUGUGUAUAUUUGAGAGUACUAUUUGUAGUCUUAGAACUUGUGAGACUGAUUUAACAAGUCAAGGUGUUUUUGAGCUUGUUGAUUAUUCGGUUUAAAUAAACAUAAAUUCUUUAAAAGAAUUCUAAUAAAAUAUGUAUAUUUGUAGAUAUACUCUAUAAACAUAUAUUUUUGUGUUACAAUUUUUGACGUAGGUUUUGCAUUUACAUUGUUAUACAAAUAUGCGCGUGUUACUUACAUAUAGCAUCUCCACAAACCAAAUUCACUUAUAUAUUAUCACUUAAUGUAAAUAACACACAACAACGAUAAACAUCCGUAGAGUACAUUUUCACAUAGAGCUGUAAUUAAUACAAUUAUCAUCAAAUAAUAUAUAUAUAUACACGCCAAUAAUUUGCAUGAAACCGUUAACUCCGAAGUCUCUCAUGCCGAGUUGCAUAGUAGAAAGACUGUAAAACAACGGAAACAACAGCAGGACACUUCACAACUGCCAAGACAAUACCACUUAGGUUAAUUGUAAGCUUUUUUACAAUUUUAUGUAUGGAAUAUGAUAUUGUACUAAUUAAAAAGUAACGUAUAUCUUCUAAAACACUAGAAAUAGAGAAGUUUUAGUUUAGCUACGUACGAAACAAUUUGAAUUUUGUUUGGUUGUUCAGUUGGAAAAGAAAAAUAUUGAGCUGAAAACUAUGAAGUUGGAUUUUAUUCUAAAAAAUAUAAGGGCUUUUUUCAAAAUCAACCUAAAAUUUGGAGUCAAUUCCAAAACCAACCUCUUUUUUUUUGUCAUUACUAUUCAUCCUUGAAAGUUCCAAAUCCUCCUUAUGUUUUUCAAUUAUUUACCAAAGUGCCAUUAUUAAAUAAUUAUUUAAUAAUUUUGAAAAUGAGAAAAAACCUAUUACACCCUAAACAUUUCUUCUUAUUUACAACAAUACCAUUAUCAUCAAUUUUCCAACCACCAUAAACCACCAUUUUUGAGCUCUUAAAACCUCAAGAAUUCAAUUUGUAACCACUUUUUUCUCUUUCUAAACUAACAAAUCUUCAUUUUCUCUCAUUUCCUCUUCAUUUUCAUCUGAAAAUCUUUCAUAACUUCCAUUUUUGUAAUCUAAACUUUCAUAUUUUCGAGUUUAUUCAGUGGUUAGUCGAAAAAGGUGGUUCUUUUUGGUCAUAUUUGGAGCUUGGACGGUGGUAAAUGGUGGAAACGAGCUUUACACAAAAAAAAAGAUAACUAUUUACUGGGUUUUUGUCAUUUUUCAUAUCUGUGUCGCGAUAGUAGACUGUUUUGUAUGUCUACUCUUAUGUGUAGACGUACGAUGCGAUCUAUUGUUCAACGCACAGGUUACUUUUGCAAUUGACCAAAAUAAUUUUUUUUGUAUAGUAGACUUCCUUAGAAGUCUGCAUCUUAACCUUUGAAAACAAAAACAAAAAAGUAGGUAGACUUACUAAGAAGUUUACGUAAAGAGGUUAGUUUUUGCAUUUGGCCAAACUCUAUGCAACUUUUGACUUUUCAUAGUAGACUUCACGAGAAGUCUACAUUAUGUAGACUGCUAUGAAAGUCCACAAAAAGUCAAUUUUGCAUUUGACCAAAACUUUAACUCCGUUGAAUAGGUUAGUUUUGUAUUUGACUAAAAGAUUAUAUAGUUGACCGAAUCAAAAAAUAGUGUAGACUUCAUAUUCAGUCUACUAUUCUCAGGAAAAAAAAACGUAGAUUGCAUAUGAAGUCUACUUUUUUAUUUUGGUCAAAUGCAAAACUAACCUUUCGAAUUUGGGGUAGACUUCAGUUGAAGUCUACACAUGUGUAGACGUUCAUAUCAAUCUAUUUGUACAAAGUCAAAUUUGGUCAAUUGCAAAAACUAACCUGUUUUAAAAAAUUAAAAAAUGUAGACUGUAAAUGAAGUCUCCUUUGGAAAAUCAAAUUCUGGUUGAAUUCUGGUCAAUUGCAAAAACUAACCUUUUCAAAAUGUAGACUGAAAAUAAAGUCUACUCAUAUAAAAUCAUAACUUUUUUUUUAAAUACAAAUGAUAACCCAUGGAUUUUUCAAUUGCAAAAACUAACCCUAAUUAUAGACUAACUUGACAGUCUACAAACGUAAACUGAAAAAACAGUCUAUUAUUAUGUAGACGGAUUAUAAAGUCUACAUAGAAAAAUCUAUAAAAGAUGGAUUUGUGUAUUAUUCGUAAUGUAUUUUCAAGAUUUUUUAGUUUGACAGUAUGCGUUAGUUAAUCCUAAUGGUCUUGAGGUAUUUUGAAAAUAUAAUCUUUUAUAAUUAUUAAAUUACCAACAUUUUGAUUUUACUAUCUAGUUAGCUAAUAAGUGUAGAUGUCUUUAUAAGUCUACUUUAUAAUUUCAAAAGUGAAAAGAGAAUACUUGUUGUGGUUGAAGAAUGUUAGUUUAUGGAAGAGUGAUAUGUAAGAUCAUUUCUACGUACCUUGAGAAAAAAAUCAGAAAUAUUAGAAUGGGACUCUCUUAUGUUGAUUAUUAGUAUUUAUGUGUUUUUAUUUACUCCUUACCGCACAUAAUUUUACAAUAGAGAUAGACAAGUGUGAAACUUAUAAACUUAUAUUGAAUUUGUGGUCUUGAGUCAGUAUUAUGUGCCAUGUUUUAUUGCUUUUAAGUUGUGUUACGUGAUGACAUUUUGUUGAACUGUGAGUCUUAACUUUGAUGUAUUCAUUUGGAGUUGUAUUAAACAAGUCUACUUUCGGUCGAGUACACUUCAGUACAGAAUAUCCAAGAAAAUUACAUAAUACAGCAGUGAUACAAAAGCACAAUACAAUAUAGCUAGUACAAAGGCAUAUAAUACAAACACCUAUUACCAAAAACUUCAUAUCCUCCAAUUCUAGCCAAAAAAUGGUUGCACAAUCAGGGCAGUUGAAGCGGCCACAAAGAGUGCAAUCAACGAUAGAACAUAGACUUGGCCAAUGAAUGUGGCCAUGGCUUAAAAUACAAGAACUCCAUAGACAUACUGAUGCUGCAAAAUUAAACAGAGGAGAGUUGACUUUUAAUACACACUCAUGGAUCUAUAAAAGCUAUGUCUAUCUAGAAAACAUAAGUUCGGUAAUCUAAAAAUCAAUUUGCAUUAAUAAAAGACAAAAAUUAGAAACCUGCAAUGUCCGUAACAGUUGGUUGUGAUACAGUAUUGACAGUGGAUACAAAGCUUCCGCCUUCUUGCAAUUUUCUCGUCUCAGAGAGUUUCAAGAUCGCUAUUGAAGUCUACAACCGGUGGAGAAUCUCUCUUAAACGCCUGUUAAACAAACAAAUAAACAAAGUAAGACUCAAAUCUUUUUUUGCUCUUAUGAUUAACAGAAUUAAAAGUGGGACCAACCUAGACCGAGCCAUGCCAGGACUGUAGGUCAGUCCUCUAAAGUGAAAGUCCCAGCCUGAUAACCGAUAGGCACCUCACUUGCCAGCAAGCUGUCAAUGCCGGUUAUGGCAGAAGAAUCAUCACUACUCUAGCUAGAUUGCUUAUAGCCUACUCAUGAUUUCUCUUGAAAAGAGUAGAGAAGUUGAACCUGCAAGGAAAAAUCAGACUAGAAAUGUCAAGGGAAAACUCCAAGGAUUAACUAUCAAGUUCAGUGAAUAUUACGAGCUGAAGUUACAAUAUUGUUGUGAUUAGUUGUUUUGAGGUGGCCCUCUUCUUUCUCAAGCCCUUCAAAAGCUGCAAAAAAACAACCACUCGAACUUAAACCAGGCCCUUACGGGUAAAACAAAACUGAACUCUGAGAUUUAUCGAAUCAGUUUGUACAUUCACACAAGACAUGAACCAGAUAAAGAGAAAAUUACCUCAACAGUUGGAUAGAGAGACAUACAUACACAAUGUUCCUUCGCCGGCUCAGAUCUGAAAAAAAAAGCAAAAAGUUACUUAACAACGGCACGACUACGACACGACUCUGACAACGACGACGAGACACGACAUCGACAAAGACUUCAACAAAGACCAAAAUCUGUGAAUCAACAUGAAACAGAACAAAUCGAAGACUACUACCUUACAGAGGGAAGAUAUAGCAGCAGCAGCGGGACGGCAACCAGUGUAAGCGGCAGAAACGGGUUGACUUCACCGGAAAUCGCCCGAGAGAGAGAGAGAGAGAGAGAGUAACGGCCGCUAGGGUUUGUCUUUUUUUACCAAAUGAAGACUAAAAAUUGUAUUUAUAUGUCGGGAAAGUUAUCCGGUUAGGUUAAAACUUUUCUGGUUUAAUACUUGUUAGAUUAUAUUAUUUUGGUUAAAUUAAAUUGUUUCCGGUUCCGUAGACACACAAGUAGGUCUACAAUCGGUAUGUCUAUUACAAUUUUUUAUAUAUAUAUUUAUAUAUUUAUAUAAAUUAUUUUUUGUUCUUUAUUUAUAUAUAUAAUUUAUUUAUUUUUUCUUUAUUUUUAUAAUAAGUUUAAUAUAUGAUAUCAUUUCCGUUUCCAUAAAAACAAAAUUUAAUCAAUCUUUUUUGUAAUUUCAGGUCUUAUUAAACUAAAAAAGACGUCUACUAUACCCUAAAUUAAUCAAUUGUAUCCUAGUAGACCAAAAAGACGUCUACUAUACCCUAAAUUUAAUUUAAAAUUUAAGAUUUUUUGUAAAUACCAAUAAAAUAGACUGAAAAGGACGUCUACAGAUAAAUAGACUUUAUUGUAGGUCUACGAAACCCUAAACCCUAAACCACAAAUCUCAAACGCUAAAUGUUUUGCUUGAUAAUCAAAAAGUCUCAAUUGUACAAAAUAUAAACUACUAAACAUUACUAUGCAGAUUUAAGAUAACAAAACAAUAAAAAAAACAAAAUCUAAAAUCCAACCCUAUGAAAUCAACUACUAAAAGACAUAACAUGUAAGAACAUUUUGUUUCUAAACUAUGAACAUUGUCUAACACAUGAUAACCAAAUUAGUAUAUAUUCUUCAAAAUUGUUCAAUUAUAUGAAAUUUUAAUUUAUUUAGUUCAUAUUAUCCAUUAUAUUGAUGAUUAGUUAAAAAUAUCACAAUAAUUAUUUUUAUACAUUUUCAAAAUUAAAUUAUUAGAUCAAAUUAGAGUGUAGACUACAAAAUAAGUCUAUAAGGUAGACAUCGUAGGAAAUCUAUAUAUAUGUAGACUUCUUUUAUUACGUGUAGACUUCCGAAGGAUAGAAACGUAAAAUACAUUUCUGUUUUUUUGUUUGGUCAUAAGGGUUAACUAGUAUUUUCACUACCCUUUUAGGUUUGUUUUGCAUUUGACUGAAAGUGGGGUACACUUUUAGAUUUGACUUGAAUAUUUGGGUUGUUUUUAGCAAAUGUCCCAAAAUAUAAGUAGGUGAAAAUUAAGCAAUCUUUUAACACCUACUUUUAAUCCCAUCUAACAUGUUGAAAUGAAAUCUAUAAAAAUGUCUGAUGAGUUAAACAUUUUAAAACCCAAACAGAAUAGAGAAAGCACAUCUCUAAAAUCUACACAAACAGACCAUUAAAACAAAAACAUUUUGAGGCUGUGCGAAUAUUCUGCAAAGAAUAACGUAUAAAUAGAAACAACUAAUCAAUAUAUAUAAGUCGCACAAAAAAACACUAAUCAAUGGGUGUAAUUGGUUGGACUGUAACUGUUAAAAAAUUAUUGUAGAAUUUGUACUGUAAGUGUAUUGGCUGUAGUUGUACAUUUACUAAAAUAUAUUUUUCUGCGAAGAUUUUUGUUGUAGUUAUCAUAACUGUAGCUGUAAAUUAUUGGUUGUACUUUUGUAAAACAAAACAUAAUUGGAUAAAACGGUUAUAGCUGUAAAAAAACUUUUCUGUUAAUUUAAGAAUAUAACAAUUUAUAAAAUUUAUCCAAAAUAAAGAAAACCAUCUAAAAUUAAAAAAAAUAGUCAAAAGAAAACCACCAUUUAAAUAAUAAUAAAUUUUAUCUACGAGAAUUCCAUAAAACAAGUGUUACGUUAGGGUUUUCCUUUCUUAUGUUAUCUAUUGAUUUUUCCUUUUUGUUUUUAGUUGAUAGUUUAUAUUCUUAAGUUUAUCUAACUUUAAAUUAUUAGUUUAUGAUCAAGGAUUAUCAUGAUUCGAAUAUACUAAAGAUUUGAAUAUACUAUAUGCAUACCUCGUAUGUUGAUGAAAAAGAUUACAUGGUUUUUUUCAGUUAUGAGUUUAUUUUUUUUACAGCCCAAAUAAUAAGGAUGUAGGAUUUUUGGGUAAAACAAAUAGAAAAGUUAAAGUUUUAUUUUUUUUAUUGUAUCAUAAAAACAUAAAGCUACAAUUUGAUUGACAAAAAUUUAUGAAAUUUUGCUUUAGACUUUAACUUAGAAAAUAAAGCUAAAGCAUGAUUGGUUAGGAUUGGUGUUUUAAGAAAAAUUAAAGCUAAAGUACUAAGUGAAAGUCCAACCAAUCAUCACCAAUAUAUAUAUAUAUAUAUAUAUAUAUAUAUAUAUAAAGCAUUUUUUUGUAGGAAUGAAGAAAGUGAAUUGAAAUAUAUAUACCAUGUUUUCCAAGAACACCCAUCAUCAUCGCCUUUGGACUUCGUAUCCACUGCGUCUACCACAGGAUCACCACCAGCGACAUCUCUAGCCGGAUAACCAAUUGGCGGCGGAAUUGUGUACGGCCCAUGUGAAAUGUUUUCCACUACGACUAAAAUAGAUUACUAAAUUAUAUAACUGAUCAGCUGGUGGAUAUAUUCUUAAUAUUAGUACCUGAAAACCCUGUUGGAUAUAUAGAUAUCGAACAUGAAUUUAAAUUAAGACUUAACUGAAUAAUUAGGAGGAUUACCUGAAGAUUGAUUCAUUCGGACUUAAUAAUUAGUGAGGAGAUAAAGAUUAUGAUGAGGAGAGAAUGUCGUUGUUUUAAUAUCAAAGAAGACGAGUAUUCUGCGUGGUUUUAUAGAGAUUAUGACUUUAACUGAUGACCGAGUAGUGAUGACCAAGUAAAGAGUAGGGAAAAAAGGGAGGGGAAAAUCGUAUUUUAAACUUUGAGAGUGUUUAAAAUAUCACAUUCUCGCACUUUAAACACUAAACUUCUUUUAUUAACACUUUAAACCUUGAAAGUGAUUUUUUAUCAUAACAAACCACCGAUGAGGUGUACUUAUUCUUUAAGUCAAUUAGGUGACAUGUACUGUUUAUUACCUGCUGACAUGUCGUUUUUAAAAAAUAAAAAAAUACAUAAAAAUUCGAAAAAAUAAAAAAUUUAAAAAAUGGAAACAAUUCAAAACAAAUCUAAAAAUUGAAGAAAUAUGAAAAUUAAAAUUUCAAAAUUAAAAAUAAAAUAUAGAAAAAGAAGAUACAAAUUAUUUUUUGUAAUGUUUACAUAUUUGUUAAGAGAUAUAUUGGUAUUAUUUAUUAAAUUGAUAUUUAUUUUAGUGAUAUUAAGUUAAAAAAAAUUAACUUAUAAGUGAAAUUCUUAAAAAAUAGUAAAUAACUUUAAAAUUAAAUAAAUUACAAAUUAAACUUUAGAGAAACUAAAAUAUACGUUACUUAUUUAAGAAGUUCCACUCACACCAAAACCUAGAGGCAUACCUCUAUAUCUCUUAAUUAUAUUUCAAACUAACUUACAAUAUUUUAGUUAAGAUCAAAAUCAUUUUAAGUGGUUUAUGAGAUUUUUUCUAGUUUCACAAAAAAGUUAAUAAGUUAAGUAUUGAUAAGUCAAAGAUAAAAAAAGGAUAAAAACCAAAAACCAGAAUCUAUAAUCACCAUUCAAGUUAUUAUAUAUAUAUAUAGGUUUAUAAUUGGAUUAAAUUUCAAAAAUAUCUUAUUUUAUUUUAAAUUUUGAAGUUUUCAGAUUUUUUGAUUUUUUUUUUGAAUUUUUCCAUUUUUUUUUAAAUUUUCAACUUUUUAUUUAUUUUAUUAUUUAUUUAUUUUUAAAGAGAAAACCGACACGGCAACAUGAAAUGAACAUUACAUAUCAUUUAAUUAACUUGAAGAACAAGUAAACCUCAUUGAAGGUUUGUUAUGAUAAGAAAUAUCAUUUUAAAGGUUUAAAGUGCUAAUAAAAAAAAGUUCAGUGUUUAAAGUGCAAGAACAUGAUACUUCAGGGUUUAAAAUGUGAUUUUCCCGGGAAAAAAAGUGAGAGUGAAAAUAGUAAAUUCAUUUUCAUUCCUUAAAAUUUACACCAUAUAUAUAUAAUAUUAGGUAAAGAUUCUUGCAAUUGCACAUAAUGAGUAUUGUGUAUAUAAAUUAUUUUUAUGUACUAUUUCUAAUUUUAUUUUUUUACGUAAUAUGAAAUAAUAAAUAUAUAUUAAAUAAUUAAAAAUUAUUAAUUAUUACAUAUAUACUUAAAUUGGUAUGAAUACAUAAAUCAAAAUAGAAAAAUAUUUAGAAUUUUUCAAAUUUCAAUGGAGGAAAGUUCCUGAACCGAGCUCACUAAAACAUAUUCCAGAAAAGGAAUUUUGCCUAAAGCACACAAGGAAAGGCACCCCGGGAAAAUGGCUGAAUCUGACUCUUAAGAUAGAAGGAGAUUCUCUGACUUUCUUUCUAGUGAUAGAUGUUCUUCCAGUCUUAGUUAGAGGAUAAUAAGUAAGGAAGUAAAGAAAAGGACCGAAACCAAUGAAGUAAGGCUUCCAAUGAACCAAUGAAAAAAAAAUGUAAGGGUUUUUAUCAAAGCUUUCAAAAUCGUUCUUCUCAGUCUGAGAGACUAGCGUUCCUAGAGGUAUCACUCUUAUUCACUUUUUUUUUUUUUGUCAACAAUUUUAUUUUAUAUCCAACUCAAAGCAGAGUACUUGAAAUACAAAGUCUGGGUACAACACCCUUUGCAAAAGCAACAGCUAAACAUAAUGCUGUGCGUAGAUUAUAAACACAUGAUAACAAAAUGAAGAGAGGAACAAGGUUUUUGAAGCUCAAGAAACCUGUAAUCUCAUUCAAGUCCAUCCCUAAGCGCAGGGAAGAGAAGGGGACGAUUGAGUCCGGAAGAAUCUGAAGUCUUGAGAGUCCAGUUGAUAUUGCUGGUUGAGAGGCUUUGUGAAUCAUCACCGCUUUGACGACGUGUCUAGAGCCCACACAUACUCUACUCAAUAAGCGAUGGAGGACACGGCCUUGCAUCCACAUUCCCUUCACCGGGCAAAUCUGAAAGUAACCAAUUGGGAAAGACCCAGCUACAAGCUCAAAGGCGACCAAACACCUCUUUGAAGAGACUGAGAGCUGUGAGGAGAACCACCAUAGCCUAGACACGCCUGAGAUAAGUGAAACCAUGUCCACAGAGACAGCAGUCCAAAUAAAAUCCUCACACUGAGGUAACAAAGUAGUAUCACAACGAGUAACUUCCUCAUACUGAGGUAAAGAGAGCUUCAACCUGAAACUCAAAGGGAGUGUAACAUCCUCAAAAAGAGGUACAGAGCUAAUCCAGGAUAGCAUUACCUCUUCAUUCCGAAUUAAAAUGGGGUUCCUAUUGAGAUAACUAAGAUCUACUAGGAGGCAAGGAUCGAACAAUCGUGACUCACUCCAGCAAAUUAAGAACACCAUACCUUGCGAGAGCUUGAAGCAAGAGAAGAUAUGCCUUGACUGAGAACUGCAUAAAGCAGUAGAGAGCUCCACUUCAAAAUGCUGCAUUGCGGUAUUAAGAGCUGCCAACAGAGAGAAAAUCACCACCAAUAUUUCAACCUUCCAAGCCCAGUCCUCGAGACUUUGAAGAGAUGAGUAAUGAAGGGAAAUCAGCUUGCACUCAGCUAUUGAUACCAAUAAUCUUGCAACAGAUAAGGAAACCACACACGACUCUUGAUGAUAAAUCGUUGAUGCCCUUAAGGCUGACUUUAAAAAAACAUGUUCCACACAAGAGGUAAUAAUUAUCGGCUUUGAAAUGGGAUAAUGUCGAAAGGAGGAGAAACUCAUGCCAGAGUUGAGAGCUCCGGAGGGAGAAAUUCCAGCCAGCAAAAGAUGCAGCAGAGCAGGCUGCGUGGAUAGCACAUCGACGUCUGGGCAGAGAGGCUUGAGCAAGCAACCGGUUGAACAGCAGAGAUCCCAUGGCAUAAGAGAUUCGAUUUCCUUUUGAUUGAGAGGAGCGGUGUAAGACGGCGAGAUCUGGCGGAGAAAGGGACAAACCAGCAGGACCGGUGGAGGGUCUGGAGAAUUUAUCGGGAACACCACGACGAGAUCCGGAUCUGGUGGUUCAGGCGGCAGGGGAGGAGAACCAAACGGGACAGUUGCAGAGGAACCCAUUGGAGGAGAAGAGGGAGAGCUUCGGGAUGGUGAGCGAAACGUCAUCAUCAGCGGAAGAGAGGCUCGUGAUUAGGACAGGAGGAGCUGCACCGGAAAGAGACCUUCAUUGUGGCGGAGAUGCAAGCUGUGCGGCUGCCUUGGACUCCGUGCCUGAGAGAGAAACAGCUACUAAAACAUACAAAGAUGAUGACUAACCGUUAUAAGCAUCAUUUAUCUCUAUGAAUCUCUCUUUAGCUGCAGUAUCGCCUUUGUGCUUAUAUAUCACUCUUAUUCACUUACAAUCAUUUUUUGGUAAAUAAAUUUAAACAAUCAUUUUAUCUAUUGUAUAUGGUAUAUAAUUAAAUUCAAAUGAUAUUAACAUAAAUAUAUAAUAUUUUUUUUAAUAUGGCAAUCUAUUAAUGAAAUUUCCUACUCAUAUGAUUUUAUGAUCAUUUGUAUUUUUUUUGUAAAAAACAUUAAACCGUUUAUAAAGAAAUAUGUAAUGUGGGAAUUUUAAUAUUUUUAGUAAUUUAUAAUCAUUUUCAGAAACUCAAUGCAAUUUUUGAAAUUAAAAUAUUAAGUCUUCAAUACUUGUUCAGUGCAAAUUUUGAAAUUAAAUAUUUUAUAUGGUAUAUAGUUCAAUUUAAUCAUUAUUAAAAAAUAUAUAUUUUUAAUCUUAAUAUUUAUUAAAUAAGACUUCUAACUCAGAUAUUUUUAUGAUCAUUUAUAUCUUGUGAUAACAAAAUAUUAAAUCGUUUAUCACAAAAAAAUUAGUGUGAGACUUCUAACAAUUUUAGUAAAUUGUAGUCUUUUUUCAAAAUUCUAAAUAUAAGAUAUUCAAAAAAGCCUAUGUGAUUAAUGUGAUUCCUUAAUUUGUUUUAAUAAUAUAAAAUUAAAAAAUGAUAGAAGAUGUAUAAGUUGUUAUCAACUAUUAUUCAAAUUCAUUAAUUAUUAUAUAUAUUUUUUAAUCACAUUAGGUAAUUCUUUAGAUUUUAUUUAAGGAAAUAAUCAAAAAACAAAAUUGCACAUUAAUAAUUAAUUUAUUGUUAGUUUAAUAAAAAUCUAAUAUAUUUUUAGAUGGAACAACAAAUUUUUUAAGAGUUCUAAGAAUCAUUAUAGCGAUGAUACGUGUCAUAGACUCAUAACUUAAAUGUUGUAAUGUUUUUCAAAUAAUACACAUAAAAGACUGGUUACUUGUGAUUUUUUAACAUUCCUUUACAUUUAAGGAUUAAUAGACUAAAUUUAGUCCUUAUCAAAUUCAGGGAUGAACGUAAGAAAUACAAUGUCCAAAAACUACUUUUAAAUACCAUUCCAUUUCCCAUGGUAUUAAUAAAACAAUAGUGACCGGGCUAUCUAUUAUAAUAGCCCUUAAAAUAGUGGCCACUAUUUUUUUAUUAAUACCAUAGGAAAUGAUAUUUAGAAGUCAUUUUUGGAUAUUGUAUUUUGAAAGAUAUAUUUUAUAAGAUUGUUAAGAUUUAUUCUUAAAAACAAAUUCAGAAAGAUAUAUUUUAAAAGCUUUUGAAAGACAUCUUAUAGUGUAUGGCAAGUAGUCAUUGACAUCUUAUAGUGUAUGGCAAGUAGUCAUUGUUAUUUUAUUUUAUUUAAUUGUAGUAUAUAGCCAUAUAGGGCAAGUAGUCGUUUACUAGUUUUGGUCAAACACCAACCUUUGAAUGCGUCGCCAAAUUAAUAUAUAAUAAUCAAACACAAAUCACAUAUUAAUGGAAUAAAUUAUUACCAUCACUGAUCAUUUUGUUAUUUUUAGUGAUUGCUUACUAUAUCAACUCUUCUUUAACUAAAAAAUAAAUUAUACUUCAUCCACCUUAAAAUAUAAAGUAUUUAUGAAUUCCUUUGAUAUUUUAAAAUGUAGAUUUCACUUAUAUAUUUAUAUAAAUUUUGAUUUUAUCAAAAUUGUAUGACCAAUUUUAUUUUACAAGCUGUUUUACACUUGAUUGAAUUGUUUUUUAUUUAUAUUUAAUGAUAUUUUCAGAUAAAUAACCUUUUUAGUAUUUAUGUUUUUUUUUAUCUUAAACAUGAUACAGUAUAAUUCUGCCAGCAUUUUUAAAUGGAUUGCAAAGACCUAAUUUUAAUGAUUCAAGAAUCUACAAUUGGCCAAAUUUUCAACAGAAUUGAAGAAUUUAACUGUUUCAAAAGGAUUCCAAAAAUUAAGAUUAUCUACCAUCCUCAAGUGCAAAAUAAGACUAUAAAUUUAUUAGGUAAGAUAGCACAUGAUUUUCGUAGAUAAUUUUUUUAGUUAGUUGUUUUGUUCUAAUUUAGUUUCCAAAGCCACUUUUAUUUUAUUUCGACUAAUAGAAUUUUUUUGAUGUAAAAAAUAGAAGAAAUGUAUAUAUAUAUUUUGGAAGUGAAACUAUGCCACUAAAAGUUUGUGAACAUUGAAAGUGCGAGUUUUCAAUUUUUGAAUUUAUAAUACAAACUUCACAUUUAAAUAUUUCAAACAAACCAAUGUCGAGACAUAACAGUUGCAGUAUAUCUUAAUGCAUGUUGAGAUGUUAAGUGUAGCUUACUACGUAGCCUGUCUUUCUAAUAAGGGCGGAGGCAAAUGACGUCAGAGAGGUGGCGAUUAUCGGCGUACGUCAUAUAGAUUUAUGAUAAUUUGUAUUUUGCUAUAACAAAAAAAAUUAAAUUUUGAUUAAAAAAAUUUCUGUGUGAGAUUUUGACUGUUUUGUAAUUUGUAUUUAAGUGUGUUUAUAUAAAAAGUUAAUAUUGUACAAGUGAGGACAAAAUUCGAAACAAUAUCAUCUUAAAAGUUAAUUUUGAGUUUCCCAAAAUUAACACAACUAUCACAUGGGAGGUGAAACCCAUGCACGAGCGAACAAACGUGGAAAGACCAUUAACGCAUAGACUUUCGGGAGUUGCAUACGUUUUCAGAUAAGGCAUUGAAUGGUAUGAGCCGCAAAACUGUGUUACUCAAACUUAUUUGUUUUUAUUCAUUUCUAUCGCAACCAGAUGAACUUUACCUAGGCUAAGAAUAGAUCAACUAUUAAAUUUUGGAUGGAAAUUUCUUUUACCGAUUUCCCUUGGUAAUCUAUUAUUAACAACUUCUUUCCAAAGCAGCCGCUGGGGGCAGAUUUUUUCUAGAUCGCAAGAUUUCCCACAUAUCAAAACCCUAGUUUUAACAAACCUGCUGGUUGUUUACACUGGUUCAACUUUUAUCUCCACUCCGGUUCAGAUUAUUAUAUUUUUUUUAGAAAGUUCUUGAAGGCUAGUGUCUUAUCAGAGCCGGCUCUUAGCUAUGGCAACAUGGGGAUUUACCAUGGGUCCAAAAAAAUUUGUGUUGUUUUAAAGAUCUAUUUCAAUAUGUUAAAUUAUAAAAAAAACUCAUAAUUAAGUAAACUUAAUUUAUUUAUCACAAAACAAAACAAUAAGAAAUAUGUAUAUUCACCAUUAAUUUUGGGAUAUUUUUUUCUUUUUGUUUCAAAUAAUGUUUUGAAAACCGGACCGGACGUUGACUCGCCAUUGUAACUGGGUCAAUGGUCGGGCCGGUCUAACCGGUUCAACUAGAUUUUAAAUUUUAAUUAAAUUUUAUAUUAAGUAACUAUUAUAUGUAUAACAUAAAAUUAUUUUUAUAAAAUUUUAUAUAAUUGUUACAAUCUACAAAAAUGAUAUGAAAACAAAAAGAUUUUUUUUAAAAAUAAUAUAAAAUAAUGAAAAUAAUUUAUUUAGAUAGAUACUUAGAAAACAAUAUGAAAUUUUUAUGAAAUAUUUUUAAAAUUUUCUGUUUUUAAAAAAUACUUAAAUUUGAAAAAAAAAAAAACAGAGCUUUAAUAUCGAACCAGAUCACCGGUUUUAGCAAGUUUUACUGGUUUUGACCGGGUUUGCCGGUUUAACUCAAAACCAGUGUUUAGUAUAACCCGGAACCAGAUAGAUGGUCGAAUCUCGGUCCGACAGAUCCAACCAGCCGGUCUGGUCCAGCCAGCCGAUCCGGUCAAUUUUCAAAACACUGGUUUCAAGUCUUAGAGUUCAAGUUAAAAGAAAUACAGUGAAGAAAAAUAUAAAGAAUAUUUAUAAAAAGGUACAUAUUUUAUGUUUUGCCCAUGACUAUUAUAUUGUUUAAACGGCACUGUGUGUUAUCACUUAUCAGACCAGUUGUUGAAAUGUAAGUACAUAGUGGAAGUUCGUGGCGAGAAUGCAGUUUUGGAGAGAAGGAGGUUGAAAAUGGAUUGAAGAAAGUUAUGGAGGAUCAAGAGAUGAGUAAGAGAUUGAAGAAGUUGAGAGAUUAAAAAAUGGUGGAUGAAGCUCGUUUGUAUGACAAACUGUUAACCUCUUUCAAGGAGAGCUUAAAGAGAAGUGCAUUCAAAUAUUCAAAUUAAUCUAACGUUUUCUGUUACUUAUUUCACUCAACCACUGGACUAUAUCACUACAUCAUAGAGUUACCUUAGUGGGCCUGUGGUAAAAGCCUUUUCAAAAAUACAUGGUGGGUGUAUCCACGGCCCAGAAUCCUAACUGAAAAUUAGUUAAAAACUAUCAACUGAAAAAUACAAACUCAAUUUUAGGGAUUACGUUUCUGGGUAGUGAUGAACAUUUUUCAAUAUUGAUUGUGUAAAAUUGAGUUUUAAUCGUUUAGUGACUGAUCUUCGGUCUGGGUUUAUGUAAUCUUGUGCGAUUGAUUGGGAAGGUAUCAACCUUUGGAUCUGAUUGCUUAAUCGUUUCUCAAGAUUAAAGCUUUUCGUUUUGGGGAUUUAAAGAUAUGUUUUUUUUUUUGCAAUUGGAGAACUUAAAGAGAUACACUUUGUCUAGUUUGUAAUUAGUAUAGAAUCCAAUCACCAUGGGUGAACACAAUAGGAAUCCAUUUGCAAUUGCAAGUGCAAGUGGAAGCGCAGGGGGAGGAAGUACAAGUGCCAGCUCAGACUCCAGUUUUAGUAACAGUGUGGCGGAUACGGAUGAUGAUCAAACCAUUGCACGUAUGUUAGCUGAAGAUGAGAGCUUGAGAUCAGAAGGCAAGCUUGGGAGGAAGCUCUCUCAUUUGGGUUCUAUCCCUGUAAUGAUAAGCUUCUAUUUUUACCUAUUAGCAUGAUGAAUGUGUGUUUGGUGGGCUGUUCAUAGUUUAUGUCAGUAUUAUCUACUAAUGAAAUCCUUUGAUGUCUUACUCCUACACUUUGCUUUCGUAUUUGGCAGCAUACUCCUCGGGUUAACAGGCUAAUACCUGACAUAAAUGAUGCAACAUUAGACCAUGAGCUGCUCUCUGGGAGGUUCUUGUUCUUCUUAUCAACCUUCCUUUCAGUGUUUUCAUCUCCUUGAAUGCAUUCUUCAUUUGUGGAAUGAUAAACUAGUCGGUUUUGUAACUUUCCUCCUGGAUUAUGUUUGAUGGUUUAUCCUUUAUUCAGGUUGGCCACAUAUGGGUUAGCUGAAUUACAAAUGGAGGGGGAUGGCAAUUGCCAGGUACGUUGGAAGGAACAUCCAUACACCUUGUUUUAGAAAUUUCCACAAAAAAAAUUGUACUGAUUUGAUCUAUCAUAUGUUGUUUGCCAGUUCCGAGCUCUAGCAGACCAGCUUUUUCGCAAUGCAGAUUACCAUAAACAUGUAAGGAAGCAUGUUGUAAAACAGGUACUGUCUGAGAGCCAUAAUGCAACUUCUGUCUCUUGUUCUCAAAUUUUAGUGCCAGUGCCUUCAGGGACGAGUAGUUAUUGUAUGUAUUUGCAUUAAUUAUAGACUAUUGCUUCUUCAUCCCUCAAGCUGUGUUUUCCUCUCUCUCUCCAAUUAUUCUGACUCAGUGCAUUUUCUUCAGUUGAAACGGCAACGCAAGUUAUACGAAGAAUAUGUGCCAAUGAAAUACAGACACUACAGAAGAAAGAUGAAAAAGUGAGACAUCUUUGUUUUUGUUUUUUUUUUUUAUAUCUGGAUCAGCGAGAUGGAUACAAGCUCUUCUCUGAUUCAUUCUUUUUACUAAUAAAUCUUAGACCGGGUGAAUGGGGAGAUCACGUUACUCUUCAAGCUGCUGCAGAUCGUGUAAGUUCUUUUAAAAAACUGCAUAUCAUGUUUUGAGUUUACUAUAAGACCAGAGCAGAUUAUAAAUACACCUCAGAGAUUAUAUCUUCUCUUAUAUCUUGUGGGAAUCAUUGCAACUUUCACAUUUUUCUCGCUCACAUUGUGUUCCUUUUCUUCACUUGAAUGAAUGGCUGAUGACUCAGCGUUACUGUAGUUCGAAGCCAAGAUCUGCUUAGUCACAUCAUUUCGGGAACAAUCCUACAUUGAGAUUCUUCCCCAUAACAAGAACCCUCUUAGAGGUUCCAACUAUCUCUAUGCUAUCCACUCUCUUAGCUAACUUUACUCAGGUCCUAAAUUAAUCGUUUUACUGUUCUGCAGUGGCUUGGCUUAGCUACUGGAGCGAAGUGCAUUACAAUUCGCUUUACUCUAUUGGAGGUAAAAAAACAAAACUCAAGUCUCCUUCCAUCAUCUCUAUUUUACUUGAUCUUGAUCUUCAGUAGUUCUUGAUCUUUCAUCAGAUGUUCCCACAAGAAAACCCAAGAAGAAGCAUUGGCUCUUCUAGGAUUGAAUCCAGAUUCAUGUAUACCAUAUAUGUAUGUAUAGGAUCUUCCUCAGAUUGUGUGUGAACUUUGUUGAUAGCCUCACUCUGUUACAUACUUGCAUGCUUUAUCGUUGGUUCUCUCAAGACUUUCACAGUAAGGGACCGAGUGGAUCCUAUAUAUUUUUACUUGUAAUCAUUUGAUCUUGAAAUAUCUUUUCGUAAGUUUUACUUGAACAUUCUGAUUUGUGAUUCAUAACGAAAAUACAACUAACAAACAGCCAAUAGUUUUCAUAGUUUAAAUAAGCGGACCAUAGUGAGAGAUACUUGAACGGACCGGAUGUAAUACUUUCACGUGGACCAAAUAACGUGUCGAAUAGUUGAUAUAAUUUGGUAUGUUCCUAUAUUUAAAGUCUAAUUCAUUCAAUUUUUUUUUUUAAAUAUAUAUAUAUGGUUGAGUUUCAAGCAAGCAAGUAAAGCAAUGACCCUUAAAUCACAAGAACAAAAAUAUCAGUGGGAUCGGCACAGAAAGCAGCAUAUGCUUUGAGUUAGUGAAGCAUCAUUAUUUAUACGGAAAAACCAAAGUGAUAAGUCAUAAGUGCUCCUGUCGGAUUGGGUCCGGAUAAUGCAAUAUUUCAUGUGUUGAUGUUAGAUUAAUAUUCUAAAAUGAAAUGAUGUUAAAGAUGGUGACACUCAUCCACCCGAUAAAAAGAUUGUUACGUAAUUCUGAUAAUUCAUAAAUUCUUCAAUUUUCCUCCGCUUUAGCCAAAUCAAAAUCAGUUGGAAAACUAACAUUUUCUAUGUCCCAAUACCGUGACAUAGAUCAUGACAUACCGUGAUAGUCUAAUAUCCCAACCUACAAGAAAUGUGAAUGAUCUUUAGAGUUCUCAAUUAAUGCUUAUCGAUUGAAAAGAUGUAGAAGUUCUAACUAAUCGAUGAUUGGCAAAAUCACUACGAAAAUAUCAAGAUAUUAGCUUGUUGGAUUGCCAGAAAUAAAGUUUAGAUAGAAGUUGUGUUUGGCGUUAAGAUAUAUGAGAAAUAUGCUAAGAUAGUAGCUUGUUUGAGCCUUGUACGGUUGUACCGUUUUAUAUUUUUCUUUAUGUGAUUUUUUUGACAUCAAAAGUAUUGCCAUUAUUUUUUAAUUACAAUGUUUGUUUUUUUUCAUGCUUCAUUUUAGGCAAUAAAAGGAUAAAUUAAUAUUUGUCUAUGUAAGACCAAAUUCAGAUUAUUGUAAACUAUAUUUUUUGUAUAUCAUUCAACUAUGUAUUUUCCUCAUCGUUCAACUAUGUGUGUUCUUUAUUUGGUGUGAUGUAAUUUUUUCUUCUUCUAUGUUUUCUUUUCUUUAAUAUCUUUUUGAAACUUCUAAUAAUGUCAAUCAACUUUCUAAGUAAAUUUUUUUUUAUGGUAAGACGAAUACAAGUGUCUCAUUUUAAUUAGUUUUUAAAUAAAUGGUACUAAAUCAAAUUGUGAUGUUUUCUUACAUGUAUAAAUUGACUAUCAGAUGUUAUGUGUUUUAUUUUAAUAAAAACUGUAGAAAGUGUCUUCUGCUGUUUAGACUCGAUGACAAAGUAGAAGAAAUAUAAUUGAAUGACGACCGAGACAAAAUUUAUAAUAAAUUAUGUGGUUUUGUGUUUGAGAAAUUACGGUUUAAAAUAUGUUUUAGUAAACCAUUUUUCUCAAAGAUGCAUUUUCGUAAUAAUCUCUAUAUGGAAAUCAAAAUUUAAGAAAAACAAUUUAAAAAAAAAAUUAAAUUAAAAUCUUGAGAUAUUUUUUAAUGUGGUGGCACAAACGAAUCUUUGAGAUAAUAUUUAGCAAACAAACAAAUGAUAUUUGAUCACCUACUUCUAAAUUUCAUAACAAUCCAAAAAUUCUCUUUAUUUUUACAUAUAAUAAUAUUUUCAGCUUUUUAUAUGAAAUAUUAGUUUACGUACAGUUAGGUUUGUAAUAGAUAUUUACUGAAGUAAAAUAAAAUGUAAAAAUAAAAAUAUUAAAAAGAAAAAAGAAAAAAGAAACUAAAUGUAGAUUGUAGAUGUUGUUUGGCAAUGUCAUUAUGUGUCUAUGUAAGAAGACACGGCGAAGGAAACUGAACAACAAGCAAAGGCUUUUAACUCAACCCUCUUUUUCUUUUUUUCUCCCAUAGAGAUGCCAGUAGAUUAGGGAGAAAAAGGAGGGAAGAAGAUUCUCUCGUCUUUCUUCCUUGUGUCGUCUCCUCCUGUGAUCUCAAAAGUUUCUCUUUUUUCAAAACAUCUCUCUUUGUCUAGUUCUCGAUCAUGGAGACAUCCUAUUCCAGAGACUUGUACAACUUUGCUCGCGCUUCCUCAGGUCACUCCCUUCCCUUCCUUUCUUUUUUAUCUCAUCGAAAGAAUGUCUAUUUUUUACAUUAGCUGAUUCUCGAUCCGGUUUCUUUUAAAUGUACAUUUUCCCUUCUUCUUUUUUGUGUAGCUAAACAGAGUUGUUACCGGACCCAAACACCCUGGAGUUAUUGGUGACAGAGGUUCAGGGUCCUUUUCCAAGAGAGAGUGAGUUCACUUUUUUAACUUGUUCACUACUGUAUCUAUACUGUAUAACCUUUAGGGUUCUUCUUAACCUGAAUGUACUCUUAUCUUUAGGUUCUUCUGCCACCGACUGGUCACACGAUGCAGAGCUCACAAGCUGGUUGGAAGAACGAGACCAAUACGCUAAUAUAUGGUCCUCACAGCCACAUUCAUCUCCUCACUCAUAUGCUCAUUUGUCACAGCAUAUGGUGGCACUCCAACAGAGAAAAUCUUAUGUCCAACUCGCAGCGCUACAGUCUCAACUGUACAGUUCCUACGCGCUUUGCUAGAGGAAGUUGACUCUUCAGCUCGCUGAUCCGUUCAGCAGAACCAAUCAGACUGAUGAUGUUGUUUUUCUUCGUAUAGCUACUCUUCCAAAGGGGAGGAAGAUGCUUACGAAGUAUAUACGGCUUCUAGCUCCAGGUAGUGAGAUCGCUCGAGUUGUAUGUAUGGCUGGCUGUGUUCCGCCACUUGAGAUUCCUAUUCGGCGGUUUGCGUUUAGAUACUAAUCUUGCCAAAGCGGUUACUCUCUGCGUUGGAGCCACGAGCGCUGAGUGCUUGCCUUGCAGCUGUGGUGUUUCAUCAGAGCAGCCACCUCUGCGUCCUAUUGGAAGCUCUGCUGGGGAUGGUGGUUCGGUUGUCUUGAUAUCUCAUCUUGAGAGAGCUGCUGAAGUAGUAGUCGACAGUCGUACAUGAUGGUCUGUGGAGAGCCUCGUUUAAUGAGUUCUUCAACCUUCUGACUAAAUACUGCAGGAGCAAGUAUGAGACGAUCCGCAGUCAGAACCAAGGGAGUGCGGCUGAUGUUUUGGAGGCGGCGAUAAAGAGGGAGAUGCCCGCUGAGCUUUUGCGAGCGAGUCUCCGUCAUGCCAGUGAUGGCCAGAGGAACUAUUUGUUUAACUUUGGUUGUAAACCGUCGGCUGUUAGUGAGUCGGUGGCGCAUGCAAGGGGUGGUCAGAUCAACUCUGGAUCUGCGCGGGGGUUUUUAAAAAAAAGGGAGAAGUGUGAGAGAAAGAGUUAAGGGGUGUGUGUGGUUUCAGGAGCCAAAACUUGUAAGUAACAUAGGUGGUGUAGGAAUCUUUUCAUAAAUGGUUUCAAGUGACAGACAAGUGCUUUUUAGAUUCUGCUCUUCUUCAUAUUUUUGCGAAAAUCAUCAAAAUAAAAUUAAAAAUAAUUUUAAAAUAUUUUUUUUUCGAAUUUGAAAAUAUAGAACUUAAAUAUUUACCUAGGGGUUCACUAAUCGAUAGGAGGAUUUGGGUUUAGUUUUGAAGAGUGGGGAGAUUUGAUUUGGAAGUUUGGGUUUUGAUAAAAAAAAUGAAUUAUAAAAAAUGGGUAUAAGAGAUCAAAUGAGCCCAUAGGAGAUUAUCUCUAUAGAAAUAGGGACAUGAGAGGAGUUAACUGUCUUCUUUUUCACUUUUGAACACUUUUUUAUUAUUAUUAAUGGUGGGCAAAUGCAAUCAACACAUUUUCAGGAUCUUAGGGCAUCUGUAUUGGGGGUCCCUUAAGGCAUCCCUUAGGGGAAGGGGGUGGGAACCGAGGAAGAAAGAGAAGGGAAAAGCCCUUAAUUAAGGGCUGUCCCUUACUCUUUAAUGACCAAAAAAAAAAAAAAAAAAAACAAANNNNNNNNNNNNNNNUAAAAAAAAAAAAAAAAAAAAAAAAAAAAAGCAAAACAAGGGACUCUCUCCCUCUCUCUCUUCAUCCCACCAAUAAAGAUGCCCUUAUUAGAAUUGACUUUCUCGUUUUUUUUAUACACAAUUUCUUUUUCUUUUUUGUUCUGGUAAAAAAUGACUAAGCGCAGUUGAUGAGCGGCGUGUAAUCAACGACUUCACGGUACUAGUGAUGUACUUCGCUCACUAAAGCCAAUGUUUGCUGGAUCCAGUGAGUUUAAUGUUUGCAUUUUUUUUUGUUAGAAUUGCAUUUUCUUAUUUUGUUAAAUGAUAUUUGCAUAUGUAUUCUCAAUAUUAGCAAAGAAUGCAACUGUCAAGAUAGUGCACCAACUACUUCAAAGUGUGAUAUGUUUACAUAUUUUCUAACCUCGAAUAAACGAACAAACUCAUAUAUAACUCAUUACAUGAGAGUAUCAGGUGAAACAAACUAAUACAACUAUACAAGUGAUCCAGUUUAUAAAACUGCAACAUCUUGAUUUAAAAAAAAAAACUCGAAGUCAUCGUCGAGUAUCGGGAAAAAUGACAAAAGAGAAACACAAGCUAGAUUCUUCUUAACCCAAAUUUUUCAAAAGAAAAGAUUCCUUUUUUUGUUAUGGUAGAAAAAAAAAGUAAAUUAAAUAACUUGGGUUUACGAAUUAUGGGAAGAGGAGGAAGACGUGGAGGUGUAAGUGUAACUGUACGGUGCAAAAGAUUUGUUUCUUUUCUUCCUCUUCUCCAAAAAACUCUUCACGGAUCUCUUCAAAGAAAACACUAACGGUGAUUCCAGUCUCGUCGGCGUUAACUCUAACGCCGUUAUUCCACGCUCCUUGCUCGCCAUCUCUAUUAUUGCCCUUAUCUUCGUAUUUCAUUUUUGCAUUUUAUGAUCAGUCAUUAAUCAAGAAAAAGAGAGGACAACAUAUAUACAAGAGAAAAUAGAGAUGAUUCUACCUGAAACUCUACGAGAUCGUGUUCACGUACUUUCCCAUUAUAGAAUGCAUUGAUCUCCUUAGGUCUUAUGGUUAAAGAGUGAUUAACCCUAUACAGCCAUUUUUCAAAACGAAUUAAGAGGUUCAGAUCUUAAAGUGGAGUUGAACGUGAAUUAAAAUUAAAUUAAAACGAGGUUGGAUCUGGAUAAGAAAAACUCACGUCGAAUCUAGGCGACGAGGUUGAAGCGAAGAGGUCACUGGAGAUAGCCCAAGAUCUAAGCUACAAUACUUCAUGAUUCUCUCUGCGUAAAGAUUCUUGCUUUGGUCGCUUUGUGGAAGUUAAGAGGUAGAAACACUUGCAUAGAAACUAUAUAUAAGAAGAACGUACUAUAAGAGUUCUGAACAUUUGAUCACGUGCUUCUUGCUUUCAAUACGAAGGAAAAUAACAUUUUUUUAAAGAAAAAGAAGAAAAAAAAAUCCGUACGAAUACAUAUAUAAAUCAAAGUGUCUGAGGAAGAAUCUUGAGUAACUUGAUGGUCCGUGGUGUGUUUGAGUUUUGCUUUUCCUUAAAUUUUUAUACGUUACUGGAUGUGGACCUGCUGUAUGCAUUUUCUUGUAGAAUAUAAUAAAGUAAAUUAUAAUUGGGUUGGACCUUACGUAAUUCUGUGUAUAUUAUAUGAAUUGAAAAUUUAAUUUGUUAGAUUGUUAGGUUGUUAAAUCAAUGUAUCUAUGUGUUUUGUUUUCUUUUAAUUUAUAUGAUUAGACAGUUCUCUAUAUUAUUAUGCAUAACCCAUACACGUCAGUGUUGUGUUAUUAAAUUAAAAUUAUGCGUUUGAAACUAUCCAAAACAAUAGAGGUUUCUUUAAAAAAAACUAUCCAAAUAUAUCAAAGAUAAACUUAGGAACUCAACUUUUAUUUAGAUUUCUGAAAAGAUCAAUGGACACAUGCAAUGUUUGUGCCAUGUGGGGCUUGGAAUCGUUUGGUUAAUAUACUUUCCAUAAAUAGAAAAUGGAUUCCCAAAUGAGGCUGAUGAGUUC
rnacentral:lncRNA from 1 species